rnacentral:lncRNA from 1 species
CACUCCAUGAUCUUCACCAGCUCAUCUAAGCACCAUCUAGAACCAGCAUAGUUUUCCGAGAAAACUAUUAGGGAAAACCUUGAUUCUUCAAUAGCUUUUAGGAGUUCAGGUGCAAUCUCUUCUCCUCUCUUAAGUGAAUCAUCAUCUCUAAAGGUAUGAAUACCUCUUCGAAUCAAAUUUGCAUACAAGUGAUCUGUGAAAUUGAAUCGGGUGUCUUCACCUCUGAAACUCAAGAAAACAUCAUACUUCCAUUGUGGGAUGAAAGUAGAAAUAGAAGUAGAAGUAGAACUUGUGGAAGCCAUAGGAAACUUUUGCCAAAAUUAGAACUCAGAAGAGAUUUUGCAGAAUUGUGAAUGUAGAUUGUGCUGUUUUUUUUGCAAGAAUUUGGUGAUGAAAGACUUUGGGUCAAUGUUUCUGAGGAGGACACUGAGUACGGGGGCACUGAGUACGACUUUCUGAGGAGGACAGAUUUGAGUGUGAUUCAGUCCACCACGUGGAGCACUACAACUGUUCAUCGGUGACAGGGGGUUUUAAAAAGCAGCGCCUCAUAAAAAUCUCCUCCAACCAUUGCGAGUCUGUUUAAAUCCUCGUCUACUCGCUCUCUUCUUCUGCCACCUUUCUAAAUUAUUCUCAUCUCUAUUAAGUUAUGUUGGAUUUUCGUGUAAAGUAGUAAGAAGGAAAAAUAAAAAUAAAAGGUACCAUAAAUAUAUGAAAAGUAUCAAAUAUAUUUAAAAUUUAUCAAAAUUUUAUAUAUUUUAAAAUUAUUUAAUCUAUAUAUAAUAAAAAAAUUAAAUAAAAUAGAUUUUAAAAAAUAUAUAAAAAUAAUUUAUUAACUUAUAUGUAUUUUAUAUUCUCUUUCACUCUUUUUUUUUUUCUUAUUUUUUUGGAAUCUAACAGGGUCUCAAAUUUUUUUUUAAAGGGUUAAUUUCAUUAAUUUCCCUCAAAUUGUAGCUAAAUAUAUUUAUCUCCUAUAGUUUUAAAAUUUUAUUAUAUACCUUUCUUAUUUUGAUUAAAAAAAUAUGAGUAAAAAAUAAAAAAAAUAAAAAUUAUAAAAGAGAUAUUGAAUGAAAUUUCAAAUUUAAAAAAGUUAGACAUAUUUAGUCAAAGAGGUGAAUGAAAUUAAUAUUUUUUUUUAAUUAAAAAUAUUUGUACAUGAUAAGAAGAUCCCAAAUUAACGUAAUGAGACUCUUUUGCUUUCUCUAGAAUUACUAAAAUUAAGUGAUCAAGAAUUCCAACAUAUGAAACAGUGAGCACGCGCUGCCUGCAGAGGGGAUCACAAAGAUGGAGCAUCUUACUUAGGGUGAUGUCAGUGCCAGCUGGAAGGGUGGUGGUUGAAGAAUGAAUUAUUAUAGAGUGAGGGGGGUUCUUCGUUGGUACCCAUUCUCUCUUCAUUUUGGGUAACUACCCAUUUGACCCCAAUAAUAAAAUGAAAUAUGCAAAAUAUAUUUCAUUAAAAAAUUUAUAAAAAUUUAUCAACUCGAUAAAGAUGGUUUAUUGAUAAAACAUAAUCACAUGCAUUUCAUAUAUAUCUAAUUUAUUUAUUAAAGAUGACUUAUUGAUAAGAAAGAUGACUUAUUAGUAAAGUACUCAUAUUAAUUUGUUUGUUAAAAUUAAAACAACUUCAAUAUAUAUAAUAUUAAUUUUUUUAUUAUUUUUGGAGGUUUUGUUUUUUCAAUAUUUCUAUGAUGCUUGAAAUCAGGUUGUCAAUAUAUCUGUUAUAAUCGAUAUUUUCAUCCUUAGUUUAUUAUGAGUUCAGAAACAUGCGAUAUCAACCUAAUAUAAAAAAAUUGCAUUUGAAAGUGGUCUUUUGAAUAUGCUUCCGACCUAAUAUUCAACACCAAUAAUUGGACUUUUGAGUUAUGGUUAUUCUUCUAACCUAAUGUUGAAUUUCAACAACAAAAAACUUUGAUAAGUUGUUAGCAAUAUUUUUAGAAUCAAAUUGAGUAUUAAACCGAAAAUAUUGUUGAUUUACAGUUCAUUGAUCGAAUCGGUGGUCGAAUUAUGAUCAAAUCAAUGACAACAUAAAUAUAUAAUUUAUAUUUUAAUAAAAUUUAAAAUAAUUAUAAUAAAUUAAUAUGUAUAUAUAUAUAUUAUUAAAAUUUUUAAUAAUAUAUAUCGGAAAGCUCCUUUUAUUAUUAUCAAAGAUCCCAUAUCGGAAACCUAUAAACCAUUUAUGUGGUAUCUAUAUCUGCAAACCUUGGGAAUGAGCAAACGGGGCUGGGAGUGAAGGGAUCUGGGCCAGCAGAUGGGCAUCUCUACCUAUGCUUAAUAAAGGUUUUCUGCCUGAAGUAAAUGGGCUGGGAAUGGAUGAAUCUGGGCCGCUAGAUGAGUAAAAACCCAUUUAGUAAAAGAUGGAUACAGUAAAAGGACUAAAACAUAUAUUAUUUUAUACAAUGGGUUAAGGAAAUAUAAAAUUUUCUUGAAAGAAGGAAACAAUUAAUAUAUUUGGAAAACUCCAUAGUAAAUCAUAUAUUAUUCCAUACAAAAUUAAUUAUUUUUUAAAAAAUUCAUGGUAAAUCAAUGUUUAAUUUUUAUUUUUUUUUAUGUAAGUAUUAUGUUAAGGAGCCUAUUUAUUUUUAGAAUUUUUGUAUAUAAUUAAUUAAUGCGAUUAGUGCUAAAUUAUUGUGGAUGCAAUUUAGGAAAGCUGUAGGCCCUAAUUGUUUGACUCUUUAUAGCUUACAAUUAAUUAAUUAUUUUGAAAAUUUUUAUUUAAAAUUGUUGGAUUAAUAUUGUAUAAUAUAUAUUGUCGUGAUAUCGCAAUAUAUUAAUUAUUAAAAUAUAAUCUUAGUUUACUUUGAUUUUGUUAAUGUAAUAAAUGGAUAGACCACAUUAAUUCAAUGAUGUUAUUUUAAUAGUCAAAACAUAGGAAAUAUAAUCUUAAUUUAAAACAUUAAUGUACAUAUUUUUCUAAAUAAUGUAUAAUGAAAUUCUUCUUCUUAACAAUAAAUUUAUUUUCUGAUACACUUAUUUUUCUAGGAAAUGUACUUUUUUUCAAAAUGUAAUUGUUUUUUGGAAGGAUGUAAUUAUUUAUAUUAUUACAAAUAAGUGAAAGUUUAUAAACAAUUUAUGGUAAAAAAAAUUAAUGUAUAUAUAAUGUAGUUUUUUUAAAGAAAAAUAAUUAAUUUUCAAAAGGAUCUACUUAUUUUUAUAAGAGAUGUUUUUAAUUUUAUUUUUUAUAAUAUACUUAUUUUAUGAUGAAGGAUGUAUUUGUUUAUAUUGAUACAAAUAAUUGAAAGUUCAUUAGUUCUUUUAUGAUAAACCUUUUAUAUAUAUAUAUAUAAUUUAUUCAUUUUUCAUACUUAUUUUUUUAAAGAAUAUACUUAAAGGAUCCAAAAUGAAAGACGAAGCAAAUGAAAGUGUUUCGGCUGGUCUCUCCUACAGCAUUGAAAUCAAGGAUGCUUACAUUCCACCGUGGAUAAUAUCCAGUAUAUGAGUAACCAUGGGUUCGGAAGGGAGGAGCUUUGAGGCAAGGUAUGACAAAUUUUGGAUAUUACAUGACCUUUCAGUUUUCCUUGCUUAGAUAUGUAUGGAGUUGUCAUGUCUCAUUCUACAUCAAAGGAUGCUAGUUACGAAUACAUCAUGCUGAAGAAUUAGUACACCCUGUUAAAAAAUAAGCGCAUCGGAUCAACAUCAAGGUGGGGAUCACUCUACUAAAUGGUGGCAAGUCUGGCUUCAAGAAUGGCAGUGCAGUGGUUCUCAUGGUGGUUAGAAGGGCAGCAGGGUGCUCCAGAGUCCAGCCAUGGUGGUGCUAAGUCAACAUUGAUUCUUCAGUUGUUGUAACCUGUACAUAGAAUGAUGGUUUUGGAUUGCCUCAAGAUUUUACUAAGAAGAAGAAGAAGCAGAAGAUAAGACAUUGAAGGUACAGUAAAGAAUUUAAGCAACAACUCCAAUCCCUUUGUUAUAUAGACUUGAAGGAGAAAUGAAGAUGACUUACAAUUACAACUGUAAGGAAACCCUGCAUUUGAAGACAUCCUUCCUAGGUAGAGCUUUUAAAUGAUUAAAAACAUGAACAACUCUAUGCUUGAAAUAUGCAAAUCAAAAUCAACAAUAAAUAGAAAUAAGAAGCUGAAAAAACUGUCACGUGAUGCUAUUGUCAUUCUAGGAACAAAUCCCUCACUUUAAGACUCUUUUACUUUUAGAAUAUUCCACCAUCAACCCAUGAUCAGCCAUAUUUCCAUAAGGAUUCAUAUUAAUUUAAGAUGGAUUUAUUAUAGAACUAAAAUGAGAAUACAUUUUAAAAUGUUUAUUGGGAGUAAUUCAAUUAUAUUUCAAUAUAUAUUUGAAAAAUAACACUACUAAGAAAUUUAAGAUACUUGCCAUAAUUGAUGAUAAAAAUAUGAAAAUAAUUUUAGACAAAAGUUUUGAUCUAGAAAAAUCAACAAUUUUAAUUUUGUUGUUGUCCUAUAUAUAGUAGCUUGAGAUAUAUACUUCACUCCGAAUGCAUUCCAAAUUUGAGUUAUAGAUGGAUAUGUUCUUCACUAUUUAAGUUUAAUCGAUAAUUUGUUCCAAAUAUGAAUUUCUGAAACUAAGUGUUUAGCUAAUCUAAAAGAAACAAAGUCAAGUUUUAGGCAUUAGGGUUCGGAUUUCCAAACUCAAUAAAGUUAUAAAAUGGCUAAUAUUUAAGGUGAACCAUGUUGAAAAUUAAGUGUCUCAAAUUCCUAAUUUUGAUGUAUUCUUUUUUGUAGAAAUGAUAUUAUAUAGAGAAUUUUCAAAGUUCAUAUGUGAUUGUAAUUAAAUUCUUUAUAGAAUAAAAAACUUAGUAAGAAUAUCUCUCUAAAUAUUCUACGUCAUGAGAGGAAAAAUGUUAUAAUAUAAGAUAGAGAUAGAGAUAAGAAGAAAAGUAAGAGAUAUUUGAUGGAGUAAGAAUGCUUACAACUGAAGUUAAAGACAUAAAGACUAGGAAAACGAUGGAUGUUUAGGGACCCAAAAGUUGUUUAUGUUUUGUUAUCUGUAAUAUUUUUUUAUUAUAUAGUGAAAUGUUAUCUCUUAUUUGUAGGUGUAGACAUACAUGUUGACUAAACCAUGCAUUUUAAAGCUUUGACACCUUUAUAUGUGGAUUAUCUUUACUUUAUGUGUUCUUUCAUUCAUAUAUUUACAUUGAAACUUUUGCUAGCCCAAUAAAUGGUAUUAGAGCUUUUGUUGGCCUAACAAACUUAAUGUUGUCCUUUCAAGAUGUAAUGAAAAGGCCUUUUAAAGGAUUUGUAUUUUAUCAUAAAAUAGAAAAGAAAGAAAAAAAACAUUAGAGAAUUUCGACUCCUUCUAACCACUUGGCAAUAUAUUUAUCUUAUAUUGAAGAUAAAUAACUAGUCCAAAUUUUAUGGUGUUAUAUAGUCCACACAUAGAUUAAAGUAAUUAAGGAGGAAGAUGGCUUACCAGUAAGUUUCCAUGAGGGCUUGAAUGAACAAAUAAAAUAGAGAGAUGGUGGAAUAUAAGGACUUAGCUAGCAAGCGCACCUGGCAAUGGAGCUUAAAGCUUGAGAUCAGUGCUGGAUGCUCUCAAUCUUUUACGGCAAGGUUCCCGAUCAUCUGCUUGGUUUUUCCCGGCAUCAUCAUGGCCUCUUUGAUGAUCCAACAACAUAGGCACACUGCUGUUUAGAGAAUCACGGGUGUACAUCAGCUGAACCCCGCACCUCUUGAUAUUGGGAUGAGUAACCUCACCAUUAAUCCGGGUAGAAAAAUCAAACGCAGCCAGAAAGUGCCAUGGUUGAUUGCGGUGGUACUUAUUUGGAAUAGCAUUCUUAGGAUAGAGAGUCACCCACAAUUCAUCUGAUACAUCACCAUUAAUCUCGUGACAUUUACACAAAGAAUCCAUGGAGAGGUGAUCCACAACUUCAUCCGAAUCACCGUGCAAUGUCAGAUCAAAAUAAUAUGGAACCUCAAAAUGAUUCCCUUUAUGAUAAAGAAAGAAGAAAGCCAAUCCCAGAAAGUGGUCAUCCUCGUACCAAUUCAAAGGAAGCUCUAUUCUUACUUGGCUUCCAAUCUCCUGAUGCAACACCCACCCUGGAAUUCCACCGUUUCCCGGAAUAAUAAUUACCUUGCCUUUCUUCCAAUUCCGAUUCAUGUACUGCAUAUACAAUCAAAGCUAAUAUGUAAUUGGAGUACUACUAGGUGGAUGAAAAGUUUUAAGUGUCGUUAUUAAAUAAAAAUCAUACCUCAUUACUUGUUGGAUUGAACCGUUUGAACCAUUUGAGGAAAGGACAGAGUAGAGAUGAUGGACUUGAUAACAUUUCCAGCUUCGUGCAGCCGUGGGCAUCUAUUUGUGGUAGACUUGAUGAAAGCUCUGGAAUUUCUUGGAGCAUCUUGCAGUGACUGAUAUCAAGGAGACGAAGUCUACAAAGUUGAGUGAUGCCAGAUGGUAUGCUAACCAUAUGGUUUCCACUUAGAUUUAAUGUACACAAGGAAUAUAGACCCCAGAUAUCAGUGGGUAUCGACCCUUCCAUUAGAUUGCAGUGACUCAAAUCUAGUUCUACUAAGGUGCAUAAGCCUUCCAGAUUCUUGGGAAACUUCUCCAAGUUUGAACAACCAGGGAGUAUCAAUCGUUUAAGACAUCUCAAAUCAUUAAUGCUGUCUGGAAUAGUCACAAGGUUCUUGCAAUUGCUCAAAUACAACAUUUGGAGGCUUUUCAGAUUUUGAAUUGAUGAUGGCAGUUCUUUUAUAGCUGUUCCUUCCAAACCAAGCACCUCUAAGUAUUUCAUACCCUCCAUGAUUUCGGGAAAGUUCCGUAGGCUUGAGCACCCAUUGAGAAAGAGUCGGCGAAAAGAUUUAAACCUACGAAUGCUGCUUAGAAGACUCCUCAAGUUCUUGAAAUCACUCAAAAACAAUGAAUUAAUAUUAAGAAGAUGUUCCAUUGAUGAUGGUAGCUCUUUUAUACCUGUUCUUGAAUCAAGAAAUUCUUUCAUAUCCUCCAUGAUUUCUGGAAAAGCAUCUGGAUUUGAACAAACAAAGAGUAGGAGGUCUUCAAGGAGAUAUUUUAUUGCGGAGGGUAAUUCCUUAAUAGCAGAUCGAUCAAAGUGAAGAUAAGUUAAAGCUUCCAUAGAACUCUCCUCUAUCUCCAGAAAUUUCUCCAAGUUUGAGCAAUUAUUCAAGUAAAUAGUUUCAAGAGAGUCCAAGUAUUGAAUGCUACUUGGUAAGCUCGUAAGGUUUUCACACCCACUCAAACUCAACAAAGUUAGCUUCUUGAGAACUCCAAUAGAUGGAUCAACGAUAUUCAAACUUGUACAAUAUCCAAGUUCUAACUCCCCUAGAUUUGGCAUAUUUGAAAAGUUUGAUAUUUCAGUGAGCUGCUUUGAUCCUAGUAAAUUUAAGAACUUUAACUUUCCCAAACACUGUGACAAAAGGAAUUUUGAUUUAGUACAAAAUGAAUUUUCAUGAACAAAAAAUUAAUCUCAAACAAAAUAAUAUGAUGAAAUACUAAUUAUACCUUAUUUCCUUGCCAAAGUUGUUUUAUUUUGCUAUCCAUCAUGUUGAGUACAACAAGGUUCUCUCCAUGAAAAUUUGACGGCAAUGAUUUCAAAGGGUAUCCUUUCCAAUGAAGAUAUCUCAACUCUUGUGAAGGAAAUUGAAAAUCUUCAGGAAGAAUAAUUUUAUACUCCUUUUUCAUGAAACCACAACAAUCCAUCCCAUAAAUCUUGAGCAAUCUAAGUCGUUUCAUCUUUGCAAAAACCUUUGUACUAAAUUGUAGUUGUUUUGAUCUAGACAAGUUUAAGAAUAUGGCCUCAACAUUUUUCAUCCCCUACAAACAAUAACACAGGAUUAGGCAAACAUAAAAAAGAUAAAGCUAGCUAAAAUUGUAUGGAUAUGUAACUUAGACAAAAAUGAUAUUGCUCACAUUUACGUAUUUUAAUGAAGCUUAAGAAAGUUCAUGAGUUUGAUGGUUACCUUCUUCAUUGUAAAUGCACGAUACACAUCACUCGGAUCCCACAAUCUGCUCCAUUUUCCAGGAUUAUCAGGAAAUUCACUACGAAUAAUGUUCCAUCCCAUUUCUUGUACCAAAUCAUGCAUAAGUAUCUUAUUUUCAGAAAGAGAUAUAAGACACUUAUCAUAGAGGACUUUUAUUCCUAUCUCUGCAUACAAAUCACAACUAUCCAAUAUCCUUGAAACAAAGUCUUUGUCUUCCCCUUUAAAAAAACAUGCAAUAUCAAGAAAUAUUUUCUUCUGUGUAUGAUCUAAUCCGUCAAAGCUUACUUUAAGCACAUUUUGAAUUUUCACUUCAGGUUCUCUUUCCAAUUUACACAAUUCACUUUCCCAUUGGAGUAUUGUCUUGUUAAACAAGAGAGAACCGAGGACUUUUAGAGCUAAAGGAAGGCCAUGACAAUAAUAGAUUACACGAUUCGAGAGGUGGAUAAAGUCUUGUUUAGGAAGAUUUUGUCUAAAAGCAUAGAGACUAAAAAGCUCACGAGCUUGUUCAAAAUUUAAUUCCUCAACCUCAUAUACGUCAUCCAUUUCUUGUAACAAAUGUUUACUUCUAGUUGUUAUGAUGACUCUGCUUCCUCUUCCAAGCCAAUCACGAUUUCUGAGUAAAUAUUCUAAUUGAUCUGAAUCAUCAAUGUCAUCAAGAACAAUAAAAACUCUUUUAAAUCGGAGAACAUUUUUUAUCAUAUUGGCUCCUUGGCCAACAUUGCUUACAUUUUGAUUUCUCUCCACUUGUAGUAGAUCACAAAGAAGUUGAUUUUGUAAAUGAUGCAAACCCAUAGUAUUGCCAACUUCUCUAACAUUUUCAAGAAAGCUCAUAUACUCAAAUUCAUGAGAAAAUUUAUUAUAUAUAACUUUGGCGAUACUCGUCUUACCCAUUCCACCUAUUCCACAUAUACCAAUUAUACGAACAUCAUUCAAUUGAUCAACACAUAGCUGCCGAAUUAUCUCAUUUACAUGGGAAUCCAUACCAACCAAGUUGGCACCAACAUCAAACAUUCUACAAUUCAAUCUCAUGAAUAUGUUGUUGACGAUUUUCUUAAUAUGCUCAGACUCGUACCUGCUAAUUGUAAAGUACAUGUGAUGAUUAAUUAGGCUAUAGCUGAUUAAAAAACAAAUACAUGUUAAGCUUCUUCAUGAAAAAUGAGUUAUAGUAAAAAAAAAUUAUAUCAAAAGUAUUAAGUUUUAGAACUCAAAUUACAUUUUUAGGACAUUUUUAUUGUAUCAAGUAUACAAGACAAUGAAAAUAAAAUAUGUAGUGAGACAUUGUCAAAUUGAUUUUUUUUUUUGGGAACAUUUAUAGGCUGCUAAGCAUGGAGCAAAUUUAUAUCAAACAAAAUCAUAUUGUAAUGACCCACUCUCUUGUGCAUAUAUAGAUAUCAUUUGCAGCUCUCUCUCUCUCUCUAUGUUAUAUGUAACAUUAUAAUUACCCAAUCCCCUAUUCACAAUGGAGACACAAGGUCCUAAUCAUAUCUCAUAAUAUCAUGGGUUUGCAGGUCUUCAGUGACUUUCUUGAUAUACUUUGAUUCAUGAGUUGCAAUCAUAAAUGACCUUCAAAUCUAUUCAAGUAUUACACUGUAAUUAUAAAAAUGCCUGAUUCCUGUAGCAGUAAAUAAAACCUAACUUAUAAAAGAAAGUUGAAUGGAAAUUAAUAAAGCUUUACCCAUCCUUCACAUGCUCUCCAGAUAUAUUGGUUGCUUCUGUCAAUGCGCUCCUCCAACUUUGCACCUUCUCUUUCAUCUCUUCUGAAUCUUCUUUGUAAUUAGAAAAUGCCUCUCCAAACUUUCCUGUCUGGUUUCGUACAUGGGAUGGAUCCACAUGGUAGAAAAUCGGUACCACAGUUUGUUUCAUUUCUUUCCUGCACUUCAUGAUACUCACCAGCUCAUCUAAACACCAUCUGGAACCAGCAUAGUUUUCCGAGAAAACUAUUAGGGCAAACCUUGAUUCUUCAAUAGCUUUUAGGAGUUCAGGCGCAAUCUCUUCCCCUCUCUUAAGUGAUUCAUCAUCUCUAAAGGUAGUAAUACCUCUUCGAAACAAAUUUGCAUACAAGUGAUCAGUGAAAUUGAAUCAGGUGUCUUCACCUCUAAAACUCAAGAAAACAUCAUACUUCCAUUGUGGGAUGAAAAUAGAAAUAGAAUUUGUGGAAGCCAUAGGAAACUUUGCCAAAAUUAGAACUCAGAAGAGAUUUUGCAGAAUUGUGAAUGUAGAUUGUGCUGUUUUUUAGCAAAAAUUUGGUGAUGAAAGACUUUGGGUCAAUGUUGUGUACAGAGAAAAAAAAAAGAGUGGGUAGCGCCCCAUAAAAAUCUCCUCCAACCAUUGCGAGUCUGUUUAAAUCCUCAUCUACUCGCUCUCUUCUUCUGCCACCUUUCUAAAUUAUCCUCAUCUCUAUUAAGUUAUGUUGGAUUUUCGUGUAAAGUAGUAGGAAGGAAAAAUAAAAGUAAAAGGUACCAUAAAAAUAUGAAAAGUAUCAAAUAUAUUUAAAAUUUAUAAAAAAUUUAUAUAUUUUAAAAUUAUUUAAUCUUUAUAUAAUAAAAAAAUAAAAUAAAUUUUUAAAAAUAUAUAAAAAUAAUUUAUUAACUUUAUAUUUAUUUUAUAAUUUCUUUCACUCUUUUUUUCUUCUUUCAUAUUUUGCCUUUAAAUUUUUUGGAAUAAAAAAGGGUCUUAAAAUUUUUUUAAAAGGGUUAAUUUCAUUAAUUUCCCUCAAAUUGUAACUAAAUACAUUUAUCUCCUAUAGUUUUGAAAUUUCAUUAUAUACCUUUCUUAUUUUGGUUAAAAAAAUGAGUAAAUAAAAAAAUAAAAAUUAUAAAAGAGAUAUUUAAUGAAAUUUUAAAUUUAAAAAAGUUAGAUAUAUUUAGUUAAAGAGGUGAAUGAAAUUAAUAUUUUUUUUGAAUUAAGAAGAUCCCAAAUUAAGAUAGUUGCAUAAUUAGACUCUUUUGCUAUUAUUUGUUUUUAAAAACUAGCAAAGUUAUUAAAAUAAUUUCAUAAAUAUUUAAUUAUUUUUUGCUUUCUCUAGAAUUACUAAAAUUAAGUGAUAAAAAAUUCCAACAUAUGAAACAGUGAGCACGCGCUGCUGCAGAUGGGAUCACGGAGAUGGAGCAUCUUACUUAGGGUGAUGUCAGUGGCAGCUGGAAGGGUGGUGGUUGAAGAAUGGAUUAUUAUAGAGUGAGACUUGUAGGAAUGGUGAAUGGGAACAAAAUUUGUUGUCUACUUCAAUUUGCUAUACCUUUGUUUAUCUUAUUCAUAUUUUAUGUGAUUUUUCUCCACUCACACCUCACCAUGCGUUCAAACAUACGACUCUUGAGGAUGCUAUGGGAUUUCUCAAAUGACGGGCACUUCCUUAAAUUUACAAAAUAACAUAUGACUCCCUAAUUCUCUGGGCACUUGCCUCAUAAAUAUGGCAAUGUUUCCUCUUCCAUGUUCAUUUUUAAAGCUAACUAGAAAAAUAACAUAACUUGCUAGGGAAGGGGCUUGGAACCAGAGACAUUGAGCAAGGGAUGACAGCCUCUUACCACCAAACUACUUGGGUAUUAUAAAACCACAUAAAUUCUAUUAUAUCUUUUAUAUUUUAUAAAUUAUAAAUUAAUUCAAAUCAAAUUAUUUUAAAUUAAUUAAUUUUAAUUAUUUUAUUAUUUAUGUUAUAAAAUAAUUAAAUAUAAGGCAAAUAUUAAUUUUUAAAUAAAAUUAUUGAUAUUUUUAAAUAAAAAAAACUUACAUAUAUUAUUAUUUAUUUUAUAUCCUUCAAUAUAUAUUAAUUUGUUUGUUAAAAUUAAAACAACUUCAAUAUAUAUAUUAUUAAUUUUUCUAUCAUUUUUGGAGGUUUUUUUUUUUUUUUAAUAUUUCUAUGAUACUUAAAAUCAGGUUGUCAAUAUAUUUGUUAUAAUCGAUAUUUUCAUCCUUAGUUUUUGAUGAGUUCAGAAACAUACGAUAUCAACCUAAUAUAAAAAAAAAAUUGCAUUUGAAUGUGGUUUUGUGACUAUGCUUCGGACCUGAUAUUCAACAUCAAUAAUUGGACUUUUGGGUUAUGAUUAUUCUUUUAACCUAAUAUGGAAUUUCAACAACAAAAAACUUUGAUAAGUUGUUAGUAAUAUUUUUUUAAUCAAAUCGAACAUUAAACCAAAAACAUUAUUGGUUUACAGUUCAUUGGUUGGAUUGGUGGUCAAAACUAUAAUCAAACUAAUGACAUCAUAAAUAUAUAAUUUAUAUUUUAAUAAAAUUUAAAAUAAUUAUAAUAAAUUAAUAUAUAUAUAUAUUAUUAAAAUUUUUAAUAAUAAUUUAUUUUUUAUGUGAAAUUAAAUAAUAAAUAUAAAUAUAAAUGUACCAAUAUAUUAAAAUUUAUUAAAUAGAAUAUGUAUAAUAUUUAAAUAUGAAAGUAUAUAUAAGAUGAAAAGAAAAUUAUAAUAUUUAAUUUAAUUAUAUAUCUAUGUAUUUUGUUAUUUUAAAAUUAUUAUAUUGAUUAAUUUAUAUUGUUUGAAUGUUUAUAAUUAAUAAUUAUUAUAAAAAUAAUAAUAGAUAAAAAUAUUUAUAUUUGUUUAAAUGUUUUAUAUGAUAAAAAUUUUAAGAACAGAUAAAUAGAUAUUUACCAAAUUAUUAAUCAAACAACUGCGUAGCAUGGUGCUGUGUCCUUCAUUUUGUUUAACCAUAAGUCACACGUUCAAUUCCCCACCAUGCAAAGCUCCUUUUAUUAUUAUCAAAGAUCCCAUAUCGGAAACCUAUAAACCACUUAUGGGUAUCUAUAUCUGCAAACCUUGGGAAUGAGCUAACGGGGCUGGGAGUGAAGGGAUCUGGGCCAGCAGAUGGGCAUCUCUACCUAUGCCUAAAGGUCUUCUGCCUGAAGUAAAUGGGAUGGGAAUGGAUGAAUCUGGCCCGGUAGAUGAGUAAAAACCCACUUAGGUUUUGACCUUGACCGGCCCGUGAAUAACCGAACGGUCCAGUCCGGUUUUUAAAACAAUGGUUGUUAGUGUUGGAUUUCUCAUUGUCUCAUCUUAUUUUUGUGUUUACAAAUCAAUAAAGGAAAUUUUUUAGCAAAAUCAAUUUUUAGUUGAAAAAUAUGUAACAUAUGAUACGGAACACAAUUAGAUUAUCAAGGAUUUGAUCGGCCCGUAAAAAAUCGAUCCAGUCUGAUUUUUAAAACAAUGGGUGUUAGUGUUGGAUUUCACAUUGUCUCAUCUUAUUUUUGUGUUUACAAAUCAGUAUCUAAUAUUUGAUUAUGAAAGGAAAGGAAAUUUUUUAGCAAAAUCAAAUUUUAGUUGAAAAAUAUGUAACAUAUGAUAUGGAACACAAUUAGACUAUCAAGGGAUGUCUAUUCAUAGAUACAUUUGUCCCAAAUUAUCAAAGAUUAAUAGUUUUUUAAUCCAAUAUUUGAAAUGUAGGGUAAGUAGACAACUAAAAAGCUAGAGUUGAGUAUAAUUCUUUUGAAAGAAAGAAUUUGAGCAUUUCAUACAAUAGUCCUUUUUUCACAAGACAAUAACAUUAGAAGAAUAUUGUGAAUUUAGUAAAAGAUGGAUAUAGUAAAACUACUAAAAUAUAUAUUAUUUUAUACAAUGGUUGAAGGAAAAAUAAAAUUUUCUUGAAAGAAGGAAACAAUUAAAAUAUUUGGAAAACUCCAUAGUAAAUCACAUAUUAUUCCAUACAAAAUUAAUUAUUUUUUCAAAAAUUCAUGGUAAAUUUUCUGUAAUCAAACAUAGUGUUAAUUUUUUUGUUAAAGGGUUAAUUUCAUUAAUUUCCAUCAAAUUGUAGCUAAAUAUAUUUAUCUCUUAUAGUUUUGAAAUUUCAGUAAUUUCUUAUUUUGGUUAAAAGAAAAGAUGAGUAAAAAUAAAAAUAAAAAAAAUUAUAAAAGAGAUAUUAAAUGAAAUUUUAAAUUUAGAAAAGUUAAAGAUAUUUAGACAAAGGAGGUGAAUGAAAUUAAUUUUUUUUUGAAUUAAAAAUAUUUUGUUUAUGAUAAGAAGAUCCCAAAUUAACAUAGUUGCAUAAUGAGACUCUUUUGUUAUUAUUUGUUUUUAAAAAUUAGCAAAGUUAUUAAAAUAAUUUCAUGACAUGAGGGCAAAUAUUUAAUUAUAAUCAUAGUUCAAUUUAAAUAAAAUUCUCUAAAUAAAAAAAAUAAAAAAAUAAAAAUUCUUUUCACUAACUCAUAAAUGCCAUUAUGGUCUAAUUUCAUAUUAUCAUCAAAGUCUCCAUCCCAAGUCUCAAACAAAAAUUCCUAUAGUUCAUUCACAACCAACUAGAGUCAAACUAUAUAUACUUAAAUUCACUAAAUUAGUAUAAGUUCAAAGGUUUAACAAAAGUGAUUGUUAAAAUUUUUAAGUAGCUCAUUAACCUCCUAGGACAUUUCAGAACCCUCCGUGAUGCCCCUAUAAGUUUUCAAGAAUAAUAUCUACAUCUAAAAUAUUUUUAUAAGAAAAAAGUGAGCAUUUUCCCAUUUUAAAUCACCCCUAUAAGUUUUCAAGAAUAAUAUUUACAUCUAAAAUAUUUUUACAAGAAAAAAGUGAGCAUUUUCCCGUUUUAAAAUAGUGUCUUAAAUACCAAAUGGUUAGUGGGUAAUCAUUAAGGGUUAAGUACAUUAAAACAAACAUUUAAACAUAAAAUAACCAUUCAAACAUUAAUCCAAAUGUUUUUCUUUUAACAUGAAUAUACAACCUACACAUAUUUUGAUAAUUAAAUAAAAAUACAAAUAGAGAUAUAAUACAUAAUCAUACGAUGUGUCUAUAAUCAAAUACAAUCCCCAUUCAAAGUUUUAUUGGGGUCAAUUUUUGUGUCUUUUACAUUAGAAAUUUUGCUCUCUUUUUAAUUCACCCACUUAGGGCACUUUGUUUUUCACUUUUUUUUUAAUCCAUUUCAUAAAAUUUUUAAUUAUUAUUAAUUUUUUUCUCACACAACUAUGAUUCAAACUGAAUGCAUUACGUUCAUAUAUUAGAAACUAUUAUUUUCAUAAUACAUUUGUAUUUUCUUUUCAGUUGUAGUCUAAUUGUCUCAAACAACACCAAUAAUUUGUUUUUUCAAUUAUCAUAAAUUUUAUUAUCAAUAAAUGAUUAUUUAAUUAUUUUCAUUAACCAAAAAUUCAUAAAUCCUCAAAAAGUAAAAUCUAAACAAUAAUUAUAUAUCAAAUCACAUGCAAGAAUCAUAAGUAUAAACAAAUCUAUCUCACAACAACAUCUAUAAUUUUUUUUUUUAAAACAUAUUAAAUAAAAAUUUCGAGGAUAAGUCAUCCUACCAAAUACCAAAACCCAAUCGUUAAGUUUAAAAUUAGACUCCGUACCAAAAUUUCCCAUGUGAAAUAAAAUAUCCUCGUAGAAUUUCACAUGGAACAACCUUUUGAUGACCUAUGAUACAUGCCCUCUUUUCUUUUCUAUUUCCUUUUUUAGUUUUUAAUUUUCUCAUUUCUUUGUACUUGCGUCCAACCAUUUCUCCUUUUUCUUUUUCUUUUUAAUUCUUCAUCAUCACUUCCACACCACUUUCGGCUUCUUUUAUUAUUAUUAUUAUUACAAUUUUUCCGUAUUAUUUUUAUACAUAUCCUUUAAAAUAUUUAAUUCUCUACAAAUUAUUUUUAUUAUAAAAUAUAUAUUUUUUCCAAACUAUCAUUUAAAAAAAAUUAAAUUUAUUAUUUCUGAAUAAAAUAUAUCUCCUAAUAAUACUAAUCAUAUAUUUACAUUUUUUUCAAACUUAAUUAAUUUUCAACAAAUCAAGAUUAUUAAUUCUAAUAGUAGUUAAUACUUAACUUUCUAAAAAAAUUUAUUUAGUAAAGCUGAUAUGAUAUGACGCAAAUUUAACUCAUUCGACCAUUAGAAUUCUUUGAAUUUUUCUAAUUCUUUGGCCCGUGUUCUACAGUUUUUACUUUUCAAUCAUAACUUGUUAGAAAAGUUUGAGCGUGAUUCAGUCCACCACGCGGAGUGCUACAGCUGGUCGUCGGUCACGGUCAGUCCAGUUGUCACCGACAAUGGGUGUUAAAAGGCCCCGUCUUUUCCUCUUCCUGCCCAUAAAAAUCUCUCCCUCUUCCUCCCUUCAACCAUUGCGAGCAUGCUUAAAUCUCAUUUACUCGCUCUAUUCUUCUGCCACCUCUUUAGGUUAUGUUUGGUUCAAAAAAAUACUAAGGAAAGAAAAAAAAUACAAAGAAAAAUUAUUUUUUCAUGUUUGGUUGUCAUAUGAAAAAUAUCAAAGAAAAUCAAAUAUAAUUAAAACUAAUUAAAAACUUAUAUAUUUUUAAAUUAUUUAAUCUUUAUAUUAAUGAGUUAAAAUAAAUAAAAUGAGUUUGAAGUAACAAAAAAAAUAAUUUAUCAACUUUUAAUCUUUUUUUUUAUAUUUUUCUUCACUUUUUCUUUCCUUCUACUUUUUCUUUAUAUUUUCUUUCUUUUGCAUUUUCCUUCAAAUUUUCUGGGAACCAAACAUAGCCUUAAAUUUUUCUCAUCUUUUAGGCUAUGACUGGUUGUCAAAAAGUGUUAAAGAAAAGAAAAGAAAAGAAUUUAAAAAAUGGUUUUCUCUUUGAUUUAUUUAUAUAAAAUUUAAAAUAAAAUAAAAUAUAAUUAAAAUUUAUCAAAAAUAUAUAUUUUAAAAUUAUUUAAUUUUUAUAUAAUGAAGGAAAAUAAAUGAAAUAAAUUUUAAAAAACAUAUAAAAAUAAUUUAUUGAUUUUAAACGUAUUUUUUAAUUUUCUUCUUCUUUUUUUUUUUUUUAUAUAUUUUCUUUCCUUCUUAUUUUUCCUUAAAUAUUUUAAAACCAGACAUAGCCUUAAACUUUUUUUUGAGGGGCUAAUUUUAUUUGCCUCUUUCAAGAUUUUGGCUAAAUAUAUUUAGUUUCUAUUGGUUUGAAAUUUCAACAAUUUAGCAUAUACCUUUUUUGUUUUGAGUGAGAAAUGAGAUAAGUAAAAAUGAAAAAUGAAAAUGAUAGGAGAGGUAUUUAAUGAAAUUUUAAGUUUAUGAAGACCAGAUGUAUUUAACCGAAACCUUAGAAAAUGUGAACCAAAUUAAACUUUUUUUGAGUAAAAAUGUUUUAUACAUGUGAUUCACGUGAUGCCAAAUAAAUAUACUUGCAUUAUGAGACUUUUUUGUUAUCAUUUAUUUUUAAAAACUAGAAAAGUUAUUAAAAUAAUUUCAUGACACAAAGAUAAAUAUUUAUUUAUUUAUUUUAACAUUUUAUGAUUGUGCAUUUGUGAUAUUAUUGAAAAAUAUUUCUACAUUUUUCUUACCACGAAAAAAAAAAUCAAUUAUUAGAACAAUCUAAAUUUCUAAGUAUUUUAAGGACUAAAUUGGCUCCAUCAAAGCAUAAUUAAAUGAAGGAGUUGAACAAAUUAGAAAAAUAUCAAAAAAGACACUUUAAAAAUAUAUUGCUAUUAGAAAUUAGAAAUUAAUUAUCAUUGGAAUUAAAAAACACAUUUAAUAUGAAAAAAAUUCCAAUAUAUGAAACAAUGGCUAAAGAGAGUGAGAGACACGCGCUAUUGCAGAUAGGGUUAUGGAGUGUUGAAGUAGAGAGAGGAUUAUUGAGAAACAAUGACUUGACUUUUCCAUUGAUUAAGAAUGAAUAUAUAUACACAAAACCUAAAACACAAAAAUCGGAAACAAUCUACCCAAAACACCAAAAAUAAGAAACAAUCCUAAAAUUAACCCAAAAUACAAAAAUAGAAAACAAUCAUAAAAUUAGGGGAUUACAACAAAAAUAGGAAAUUACAACUAAUUACAAGAAUUUGAAAAUAGAAAGAAAAUCUAUUGUAAUGAAUUCUCUAAUAUGCCCCCUCAAGAUGGAGUUCCGGAGGAGACGCCAAUCUUGACUCGUAAUUCUUGGAAGCGGCUUUGUGGAAGCGGUUUAGUAAACGUCGACAAGUUGAUAUGCUGAGGAAACAUGAGUAACAUGAAGAGCACCUGAUUGAACAAAGUGAUAGUCAAUUGCCACAUGUUUUAUGCACGAAUGAAAGACUGGAUUAGAACAAAGAUAGGUGGCACCAAAAUUGUCACAAUAGAUAACAUGCGGUGUAGGAAGAGUGACGCCAAGCUUUGUGAGAAGUGAACAAAUCCAAUUGAUUUUUGAAGUAGUAGCAGCAACUGAUCGAUACUCAACCUCUGUGGAUGACCGAGCAACUGUACGUUGUUUCUUGGAUGACUAAGAAAUUGGAUGACAACCAAAAUAGACAAUAUAGGCACUCUUAGAGGUAUAGUCAUUUUUGUUGCCAACCCAAUCUAAAUCUGAGAAGGCAUGAAGAGAAAGUGUAUUUUCCUUAUGAAGAAAUAAUCCAUGAGUCAAUGUGCCACACAGAUAUUGAAGCUGUCGUUUUGCAGCAUUCCAAUGUUUAGACGUCGGACGAUGCAUGAAUUGGGAUAACUUGUUAACAUCAUCUGAUAGGUUUGGGCGAGUGAAGCAAAGAUACUAUAGACUGCCAACAAGGGUUUUAUAUUCUGUGCAGUUAGUCAAAGUUGUACUUGAAUGAAGUGUGAGAUUUCCAUCUAUAACAAGUGGUGUAGCAAUAGGUUUUGCAUCAGACAUUUUUGUCUGGGCAAGAAGAUUGGAGAUGUGGCGCCUUUGAGUAAGCAACACACCAAAUGGAGUGGUAAGAACCUCAAUGCCGAGAAAGUAAAAUAAGGCGCCAAGAUCCUUGAUUGAAAAUCAUCGUGCCAAGAGGUCAAUGUAGCGCUGAAUAAUAUUGGUGUUGGUACCUGUGAUAAUAAUGUCAUCCACAUAAACAAGUAGAUACAUAGUAAUGUCACCUGAGUGGAGAAUGAAUAGAUAAGUGUCUGCAUGAGAGUUUGUGAACCCAAACUCAAUGAGGAAUUGACGAAAUUCAAUAUACCAAGCCCGUGGGGCUUGCUUGAGUCCAUAUAUAGCCUUCUUUAAUUUGCAUACAUGUGUUGGAUUGUCUUUAUCAACAAAUCCCGGAGGAUUAUUAUGGAGUGAGACUCCUAGGGAUCGUGAAUGGGGGAACAAAAUUCGGUGUCUACUUCAAUCACUCUAAAGUCUUGUCAUGUUUACUUCUUUGCUAUAACCUUGGUUUAUUUUAUUCUCCACUACCUUGCCUUUUCUCUCACUCACACUUCACCAUCAAGUUUGAAGUGUUCAAAGCAUAGGACUCUUGAGGAUGGCAUGGGAUUUCUGAAAUGGUUCAAGGGUACUUCAUCCUUAAAUUUACAAAAUAAGAAUGGAUGGUGCCAAGGUUUACAAUAUAAGAACACGAUAAUGACUCCCUAAUUUUGGGCACAUGUUUCCUCUUCCAUGUCCGAUGUAAGAUUGGGAUUGCAUUUUUAAAGCUAAAUAGAAAAAUAACAUAACUUGCUAGGCUUGGAACCAGAGACCUUGGCUGGUUCUUUGCUAGAGGUUUAAAUAUGAGGGUUUAUAAAAUUGUGACAGAAAUGAGUGCAGUGACAAAAUAUUUUGUGUUCUUUCUACAAACUUCUAAGCUAAUCUGGGAAUGAUAAUUUUAAACCAUUCUUGUGGAAUUAAGAUGAUUACCAAAUUUAUUGAUUUUGAGAAUGUUGAUAUUUAUUAAAGACCUUGAUCUGCUGACCAAGUGGCUAACUGUUAGAUCAUUAGAUAUAAUUUAUCAGGGACCUUGAUUGGCUGGCCAGAUGGUUUACUGUGUUUGACUUUUACCAACUAAAAAAAUAUUGUCAUCCUUGAUUUUAAUGAGGCAUUGGCUGCUCUAUAUAUUGAUAUAAAAUAAAAUUAGUGAAGGAAAUAUGUAUGCAAAUUCUAUAAUAACAAAAUUUGAAAUUUCCAAUGACAAAACAUGACAUACAAUAUAAAUUAAAUUUUUUAGUACAUGUCCUUCAUGCCUAGGAGUAAUAUGACUUGAAUUACUAAAGGGUGAUAUUAUGGAUUCCACAACGAAUAAAGUAGAUAUAGAUCUAAGUAAGCACUCAUCAAUAUUUGACUUUUGACCAUGUCCAAGUAUCUAUACCAUUGUUAAGUUCCUUUCAGCCAAGUCCUUGUAUCUUAGAGUUUGUGAAUUUGAAUGAUUAGAUGUGUAACACAUACCUGCAUCUGAUACUCGCAACUAAAUCCCUGUAAGAUAUAAGGCAAGCAGACAUAAUUUGUGAUUGUUUCUAUCUGUUGCAUGUGCAAUCAAGGGCUGCUUGGAUUGUUUUAGGGCAACGUAUCUGAUUUCAAUUUGAUAUAUAUAAUUGGGUUCAAAGAACUCAGAAACAAUUAUGGAAGCUCAGAAAUGUAAUUGAUUUUGUCAUUUUGAUUCAGCAUAAUGAUGGGUUCAAAUGUGGAUCAAAGUUGAAAAUCUUGGUAACCCAGUGGGCAAACCCCAACUUUACAACCAUGUAAUUAUUUAUGCGCUUAUGAAUUUGUGCCUGUCAUAUAUGCUGUCUUCUUUUCAGGAUGUUGGACCUAUGAGAUUAUGAUAUUAAGGGCUUGCAGUGCUAACCAUUUUAACUAAUUAAUCUAUAUUUUGGAUUUUACAUAUAUUUUUUUCCAUGUUUGUAAUAUUUUUUUAAUCCAAUGAACUCUAACUUUUUCUUUUGUCUGUAUAUUAUGAAAACUAAGAUGUUUGUUUCUCUAUGCCUCUUUGUCGUUCUAAAGUAGAACAAGUCACUACUGAAGACUUGGUUGAGUUCUCGGAGAUUGAGAAACACAAGCUGGGCCAGGUUUUUGUCUAUGCUUUUAAUUUUGAUAGUCUUUUAUCUUUCACCUUGCUGAACUUAUGCUUGGAAUAGAACAUGGGAUGCCUUUCUCUGCCAUUUGUGGAACUUCCAUCCUUGCUUAGAUUACUCGCUUGUUACAGUUGCCUCAAUGGGAUUUUCUUAGGCAUUUAGUUUAUGACAAAUUUAUGAGCAGCAAGGGCAAAAUAUAAAGAGCAGUUCCAAAAAGCUUCAUGUUUGAUGUGAUGUCCAUUGCUGUUUUUUUUUCUUUUCCAAAAUUUGAUUAUGAAAAUCUCCUUAGUUACAGAAGUAUACCUACUUCUCCUAAUGUUGUUCUUUGUGAUUUAUCACUCGUUGGUGAUUCUCAUUUCAAUUCAGACUCGACGUCUUGGUUCCAUAUCUGAUGUGGAUAACAGUCCACAAUCUUUGCUGUCUUUCAGUGGAAACAAGGAUGUGCAUGCUUUAUAUGACUUUAUGCUAAAUUAUAGGUAAAUACCUAGCUAAUGUCUGAAGAACUACAUCUCUCUAGUAAGUUAGGUUCUUUGUCUGUAUCUCUGUUCUCUUUUAUUGUCAGUGGUUCUUCAUUUCUUAUGGUUGUUUCCAGAUCUUUCUUGACCUCCUUGACAAGUGUGGAUGUUCCUCUUCUGUGUUCACCUGUUCCAUUUCAGAAUGCUGCUCUUUCUGCUCCAGAGACAAGUGUAAUUUAAUUCAAAUUUAAUGGUUAUAGUGUUGGAAUAUGUGCCCAUAAACAAAUGAGAUUUUUUUUUAUUUUGCUGAUUAUUAAUAUUUUUUUUAAGGAAUUAUUUCAAUAUUAUUGUUGCAUGCAUGUUAUAGAUGCUUUAUAAAUAUCGAAAACCCUAGAUUAUUUAAUUGUAACUUUAAAUAUUGUAUAUAAGUGUUAUAUACAGGAGGAUAAUAUUUAAAGUAAAAUAAUCUAAUAUGUUCGUAAUUAAAAAUUAAAGUUGGGAUCUUUAAUUUAAAAUUACUAGCGCGGUUCAUUACAUUCUGAAUGAAAUGAUCUUAUCCGGAUUGUUAAUAAUGAGAUUAUUGGAAUGAAAGCACUUUAUAUAAUUUGAUUAUAUAGGACUGGAACACGAUUAAUUAUGAAUCUCUGAUAAAUUCCGUUAUAAUAUAGAGCAUUCAAUAUUAAUCAAUGAUGGUCAUAUAUGCAUUGAUCUUAAUUCUGAGUGAUUAAUAGACUCCUAUUUAUUGUAUUGUAUUUUUUGACAUACCGGGUAAUGACACAAAUACAUAGUGUCAAAUUCUUGGUGUAUUGGAAGUAUAAUAAAAUAAAUAGCCGGGAAUAUUAAUCACUACAAUAAAAAUAAUUUAUGGUGUCACUAUUUAUGGUGUCACUUUUAAAAUAAUGACACCAUAUGACUUAAAAUUCAUAAAGGUGACACAUCAUAUAAAAAAAUUUAAUUAGGAUAGAUGAUAUUAAUUUUAAGUUUAGUGUCAGUUUUAAAAAAGUGACACCAUAUAAAAUAAAAAUUUUAAAAUAUUAUAACUAAAUGGGCCCACUUUGAGAAUAAUGAUAGUAUAUAAAAAAAAACUCAUUGUUUUCACAUUCCCACAAUCCAAAAAAAUCUCAUUCCAUAACCCAUAACCAUAACUUUCUUCUACCUCUCUUCUCACACCCAUAGUUCACACACAACUGCUCUUCUCUACUUUAUGGACUCUCAGGUAACCCAAAAUCUCUUAGAUCUAUCAUUUUCUUUUUUUUUCUUUUUUUUAUUAAUGCCAAAAUCUUUAUUAGCACAACUGAUUUACAUUCAUUGAUUUGGUAUAUUUGUAAUGUAGAUUGUGUAAAUAGUGUUUUUUUUAUUGAGUUGCAGGAAAGUAAAAAUUAGGUUUAACAUUCCACCAUAUCUUUUGUUUCAUUGUUAAAUCCAUAAACCCCAAAACGAAUGAAAAUAAGAUAAAUGAAUGAUUUUUUAUAUCUUUCAUACUCAAAAUGAGGGAUAAAUAUUUUACAGUAUGAAAUUUUCUUUUGAUCUUACAAGAAAUUUCUUUUGAUGAGAUUUUCUGUUUGUUUUCUAGGAAUAUUAUAGUAUAUUGUGAUGAGGAUAUGUAUCGGUGAUAUUUGAAAAAUAAUUUUUUAGAAAAUUAUUAUCAAUAUUAUCAUCUCCCACAAAAGGAAAAAUGAAAUAGUUUCCAUAUCAUGUUAGAGUUGGUUUAGAAUGUUGGAAUUAACAAUGAGAAAUUAAUUUUAUUUCUAUUUAUUAAUGUAAAUGAAUUGUUUUUUAAAAUUUAAAUAGGAAUGAAAAUUUUUAUAAUUAUAAAAAUGAUCAAAUCUCAUAUUUUGAUUUUUUUUUUUUAAUUCUUUUACAUGGUAUUAUGGUUAAUAUCUCAUCUUGUUCUAUUCAUAUUUUUUUUAAUUCUUAAAAUAUGUUUUUUGUUUUUUAUUUUUACCUUCUUUUCUUAUUGUUUUUAUAUGCGUUCACCAAAAUUUAGAGUAAUUUGAGAUUGAUGAUGAAAUUUCCCUUUCAAGGUUAAAAAAUUUCUAUAAAAUCCUUUUAUUACAUAAAUUUUCCUUCCAUAAAAGUUUUUUUUUUUUUUGAAAAAGAUAUUUUAUAAUUUUCUUUUGAUUUUCUAUGAAAUUUCCUUUAAUUUGUUUAUUUUCUAAGAAUAUUAUAAUAUGUUGUGAUGAAGAUAUUGGUUGGUAAUAUUUGAAAAAUAAUUUUUGAGAAAAUUAUUCUCAAUAUUGUCAUCUCCCUCAAAAGGAUUCUAAAAAUUUGUUUUAUUUUUGUCUUCUUUUCUUAUUGUUUUUAUAUGCAUUGACCAAAUUUUGGAGUAAUUUGAGAUUGAUGAUGAAAUUUUCCUUUCAAGGUUAGGAAAUUUCUAUAAAAUCCUUUUAUUACAAAAAAUUUUCCAAUCCCUUUCAUAAAACUCUUCAUUUUCUUCAUUUUUCUUUUUUCUGAAGAAGAUAUUUGAUAAUUUAUUGAUCUAAAGAAUAUAAAAAGUAAAAUUUAAAAUAUUGAAUAUCUUUUCCUUUGAUGUUUUUAAUCUUUUAUUAUUUUUAUUUGAACAUAUUUUUCAUAUCCAGAUUUUUUAUUAAUUAUUUUAAUUAGAAAAAUAAAUAUUAAUUGGAGUUAUGACUGAAAAAUUAAUAAUUUUUAUGAAAGUUUCUUUAAUUCUUUCUCAUACUAAUUUUUCUCUUAACAUUUUUUAAUCAUGAAUUAGGUUUUUUGUCUUAUAUACACAAUCUUCAAGCUUGUUAUAACAUCAUGUCCUCUCAUAUUAGUAGUUGAAAACAUUUUUAUAUUUUGUUACUAAAAUUUUAUUUUAUAUAAUUGAGAUGAAAUUUAAUGGACAUUGUUAUUUCACAAAAUGAACAUUAAAAAAAUAUUGAAAUUUAAAAAAUCCUUCCAAGAAAUAAAAAAAUAUAUAAAAAGAAUUAAAUGUUAAAAAUGAUUUUUAAAAGCACAAUGAAUUAUAAAAUAAAAAAAAAUUUAAAAAGUGCAUAUUUUUAAGUGGAAGAUUACUAUUUUCUAAAAUUUUAGAUUUAUUUUUUGAUUUUCUAGUUUUGCUUUAUUUUUUAUUUUCUUGAAUUGUUUUUAUUUGAGUUCAAAUGUGAUUGCUUUGUUAUGAGAUUCAUUAAAGAGAUAAUUGUUGAUUCUACAAUUAUUGUAUUAAAGGUUUUACUCAUUUAAUGAAUUGUACUUAGUUUCAUACUUCCAAUUAUUAUGAUAUUAAUGUUAUUCUCAUUUGAUUUCAGUUUUAUGAUAUAAAAAAAAAAACAUAUUCUCAGGUAGAAUUUGAUGAAAUUAGAGGAGAAUUAACUUCUUUUGUGUUAUAACUUAUCAUAUUGAUAAAUCAUGAUCAUGCAUGGUGAGUCCCUUAGUUGUUAUAUGAAUUUUCCAUUGGUAUUGUAUAACAUUACUUAUUCUUUACAUACUAUUUUUAUAUCAAAAUGGGAAAAAGAAAAAAGAAAACAUUAGUACUUAGAUUUGUUUAUUUUUUAUAACAUCAAUUAAUUUUUAUUUUCAAUAAAACUCUAAAUCUCAUUAAACUAUGAAAUGCAGGUAUACACUCUUGGGAAGACAUUAUGAAGAAUAAAAAGAAAGGAGAAAGAAACAACAACAUUUUGGGUUUUUAGAUGUGACUCUUAUGCCAUACAUUAUAGGACAUCAAUGUUACUUUAUUUGGUAUUGAGAAUUUUGGGUUUUUGGAUGUAACUCUUGUGUCAUUUUAUGAUUAGCCGGUUUUAUGCAUAUGAAAUGCAGGUAUACAUGAAUGUUGGAAUGCUUAACAUUUCUAAAUCAUAUUUUAAUAUGUAUUCACUUUUCUUUUUUAGUUUCGGUGGGUUUGAUGUACUAUCAUUUUGUAAACAUUUGAUAUACAAAUAUCACUGGAUGAUGUAAUGUAUUAUAGGUUAAUCCAUAAGCAUUACGAAAAUAUAAGUUAAAUGUGAUAUGAUUAUUAUAUUUAUAGACAAAAUAUACACAAGUUGAUCUUAUUUGUUAAUAAACAUUACAAAAAUCAACAAGCUAAUUAAUAAAAAACAACCAUAUCUUCCAUAAUCAUUUACAAUGAUGUGACACCAUAACUAAAAGGUGAUGCAUUUAAUAUGACAUCUUAUAUAUCUCAUGCAACUCUAUAUCAAAUUAAGUAUAACUAAAAAUAUAUGAUGUCGCUUUUGAAUAUGUCACCAUUUAUUUGUUUUGGUGUCGCUUCCAAAUACGUCACCAAUUGGUACCCUCUAUGGUGUCGUGGAUAAGGUGACGCUAUGUUGUAGCGACACCCUAUGUUUAUAGUGACUCACUAUAAAUGUCACCAUAUAUUUUUUUUCUUGUAGUGAAUAUACAAGAUAAAAUCCAUUCCUUCGUUAAGAAGUCAGAUGGACGGUUCCCAUAAGUAUUGGUUCGGGCCUUGAAUGAUAAGAACGCUCAAUUCAUGAUUAGACCAUAAAUAUAUUAUUCAUUAGAGAACCAAUGGCACUUAAGGAGAAAGAUAUAAUUAAAGAGGUUAACGGAAAAACCUAGCUUUAAUUAUGAACCGUUUAUGGAGGAUUGACUCAUAUGUAGUGACUAUAUCAAUGGGCAAUUCAAAUCCUUUGAAUAUAUUUAAUUUUAUAAUUUUAAGAGUGCAAUUCCAAAUUUUUAGUGGAGUAAUUUUGGAAUUAAUAAUUUUGAUUUUUUUAAUUAAGUUGUUAAUUAAUUGUCAAAAUUAUUGGAGCUUAAAAUUAUAAUGUCCAUAGUUCCUCUCAACGGCUCCAUUAAAAUUAUAUGAACAUUUUUUUUAUGUUGGGUUGAUUUUAUUAGUUUGGAAUUUUGAAUUCUAAAUUAAUUUCACACAAUCUUGAUUUGAUUUAUUUAUUUUAUAAUUUGAUUAUUUAAAAUAUUUUUUAAUACAAUGUGGUGAAGACCACACUUACUUGUAUUCCCUAAGAAACACUUUUUAAGUGGGGAUCAUGGGGAGAGAUAUUCUCUCCCAUGUUUUUCAAAAUUCAAAAUAUGUCAAUUAUAUUAAAAAGUUUUUUUUCUCAAUGUUUUUCGGAUGAUGGGAUGAGAAUACAAGUUUUUCAAUAAAUUAAGUUGUGUGAUAUAAAAACCCAUAAAAGAUAAUAAUAAUAAAAAAAGAACGCCCACUCGUUUUGAGUUCAUCAUAAUUUGGAGAACGUUAGAGAAAGAUCCAUGGUGCUUUAGAGGAUUUGGAAUUCUAAGAUCUUUUUGGUGGAGUUCAAAUUUAUCUGCCUAAUCGCAAGGUACAAUUCUAAUUUACCUAUAUUUGUUAUUUCAUUAAAUUAAUACAAGUAUUGAUCAUUGAGAAAAAAUUUUGAGAAAAUUUUUCUAGCUUCCGUUUUUCUUUUAUUUAUCUGGUUUCAAAACCAACAUAUAGACCAGUGUUAGUGACCUUUGUUUCCCUUGGCCAUGAAUGCAGUUCCAAGAGCAAAUAUACGUCUCAGCCAGAUUCUCGCAUAAACAGUGGUCAACAGUUGGGUGUUUAGAUCCACCAUAUUGAAAAUACAUCCAAACUAUUUCUGUGCAUAUGGAUAGGGUAGACCAAAACUUUGAACCUUCUAACGGCAAGUGCUUCCCUGGUACUGCUUUGUGUUCUCAAAGUUUCAUCAAAUAGGAUCACUGAACUUUGUUGUAACAUGAUUGAAGUAACUUUGACCAAUCCUUGUAUCUGCAUCUGACACGAAGAGGUCCAAUGUAUGUAUUACUGCCCUUCUCAUGUAAUAUAACCUACUCAGAAUACAUUGCUUUUCUUUUAUAGGAUUACCGAUUACCUUGGAAGGAGAGUAGUCAUCCUUUGAAAUUAGAGCAAAAUGGUUCUUUAUAAAUUUUAAUACUUGUACAACGAUAAAUAUUUAUUAUGAUUAAUUUUAGUUGCUUGGUUUUGCUUGCUAAUUCCUGUGGGGCAGGUGCUUGGAAUUUUUCAGUAGUGGCCUUCUUUUGCAGGUCAGUUGCAGGGAGUUGAAGAGAGCUGAUCAUGUUGCUUUUCCUCUUAAAGGAUCCAAAAUGAAAGACAAAGCAAAUGAAAGUGUUUGGGCUGGUCUCUCCUAUAGCAUUGAAAUCAAGGAUGCUUACAUUCCACCGUGGAUAAUAUCAAGUAUAUGUGCAACCAUGGGUUCUGAAGGGAGGAGCUUUGAGGCAAGGUAUGACAAAUUUUGUCACUGUGCCUGAUUAGCCCUGAUCUCACCACAAAAAGCUGCAGUAAUGGUAGAAGAAUAAAUAUAUGUAACUGGGAGCUUUGGCUUUCAGUUAUUCAUCUUACUGGAAAUCAUGUCUUAGCUGGGAGCUAACUAAGAAGUGUAUUUAUAUACCUUGCUGUAAUCCUUCAUCUUUGGGUAAUGAGAAAUUAUUUUCUCUGUUGAGUUUUCUCAUAGUCCCAAGCGUGCUCCCAGUGGCCCUAUGUUUCUCCGAGAUCGAUAAAUUAAAUCCAAUCCACCUUAUUAAUUUUUACAUAUUAACAUUAAGAUUUGAACUAAUUGAACUCAAAGUGGGAAUCUAUCAAUGUGGUUUGUUUUGAGUUAAUUACAAUAAUCAAUCCUAUUUUUAUCUGUUUGAUUCUUCUAGGCAGCACAAAACAAUUUAUUUUCUUAUUAAUUCAAGUGGCACCAAACUACAUAUGCUUGGGUAUUAUAAAAGCACAUAAAUUCUAUUAUAUCUUUUAUAUUUGAUAUAUUAUAAAUGAAUUAAAAUAAAAUUAUUUUAAAUUAAUUAUUUUUAAUUAUCUUAUUAUUUAUGUUAUAAAAUAAUUAAAUACAAGGCAAAUAUAAAUUUUUAAAUAAAAUUAUAGAUAUUUUUAAAUAAAAAAAGCUAACAUAUAUUAUUAUUUAUUUUAUAUCCUUCAAUAUAUAUUAAUUUGUAUUAUUAUUUUUUCUAUCAUUUUUGGAGUUUUUUUUUCAAUAUUUCUAUGAUUUUUUUUUUAUCAAUUUUCGUUUCAUUGAUCUUUCCCAAUGUGUAUAUAUAUAUAUCCGUCAAAUCAGGUUGUCAAUAUAUCUGUUAUAAUCGAUAUUUUCAUCCUUGGUUUUUUAUGAGCUUAGGAACAUGCAAACCUAAUAUAAAAAAAAUUGCAUUUGAAUGUGGUUUUGUGACUAUGCUUCCAACCUAAUAUUCAACACCAAUAAUUGGACUUUUGGGUUAUGGUUAUUCUUUUAACAUAAUGUUGAAUUUCAACAACAAAAAACUUCGAUUAGUUGUUAGCAAUAUUUUUAGAAUUAAAUCAGACAUUAAACCGAAAACAUUAUUGGUUUACAGUUCAUUGGUCAAAUCGAUGGUCGAACUAUGAUCAAACCAGUGACAUCAUAAAUAUAUAAUUUAUAUUUUAAUAAAAUUUAAAAUAAAUAUAAUAAAUUUAUAUAUAUAUAUUAUUAAAAAUUUUAAUAAUAUUUUAUUUUUUAUGUGAAAUUAAAUGAUAAAUAUAAAUAUAAAUGUACCAAUAUAUUAAAAUUUAUUAAAUAGAAUAUGUAUAAUAUUUAAAUAUGAAAAUAUAUAUAAGAUGAAAAGAAAAUUAUAAUAUUUAAUUUAAUUAUAUAUCUAUGUAUUUUGUUAUUUUAAAAUUUUAAAAUUAUUAUAUUGAUUAAUUUAUAUUGUUUUCAUGUUUAUAAUUAAUAAUUAUUAUAAAAAUAAUAGUAGAUAAAAAUAUUUAUAUUUGUUUAAAUGUUUUAUAUGAUAAAAAUUUUAAAAACAGAUAAAUAGAUAUUUACCAAAUUAUUAAUCAAACAACUGCGUAGCAUGGUGGUGUGUUAUUUAUUUUGUUUAACCAUAAGUCACACAUUCAAUUCCCCACCAUGCAAAGCUCUUUUUAUUAUUAUCAAAGAUCCCAUAUCGGAAACCUAUAAACCACUUAUGUGGUAUCUAUAUCUGCAAACCUUGGGAAUGAGCAAACGGGGCUGGGAGUAAUGAAUCUGGGCCGGUAGAUGAGUAAAAACCCAUUUAGUAAAAGAUGGAUACAGUAAAAGGACUAAAACAUAUAUUAUUUUAUACAAUGGUUUAAGGAAAUAUAAAAUUUUCUUGAAAGAAUGAAACAAUUAAUAUAUUCGGAAAACUCCAUAGUAAAUCAUAUAUUAUUCCAUACAAAAUUAAUUAUUUUUUCAAAAAUUCAUGGUAAAUCAAUGUUUAAUUUUUUUUUUUUUUAUGUAAGUAUUAUGUUAAGGAGCCUAUUUAUUUUUAGAAUUUUUGUAUAUAAUUAAUUAAUGUGAUUAGUGUUAAAUUAUUGUGGAUGCAAUUUAGGAAAGUUGUAGGCCCUAAUUGUUCGACUCUUUAUAGGUUACAACUAAUUAAUUAUUUUAAAAAAUUUUAUUUAAAAUUGUUGGAUUAAUAUUGUAUAAUAUAUUGUCGUAAUAUCCCAAUAUAUUAAUUAUUAAAAUAUAAUCUUAGUUUGCUUUGAUUUUGUUAUUGUAAUAAAUGGAUAGACCAUAUUAAUUCAAUGAUGUUAUUUUAAUAGUCAAAACAUAGGAAAUAUAAUCUUAAUUUAAAACAUUAAUGUACAUAUUUUCUAAAUAAUAUAUAAUGAAAUUGUUCUUCUUAACAAUAAGUUCAAGAUACACUUAUUUUUCUAGGAAAUGUAAUUGUUUUUUUGGAAGGAUGUACUUAUUUAUAUUAUUACAAAUAAGUAAAAGUUUAUAAACAAUUUAUGGUAAAAAAAAAUUAAUGUAUAUAUAAUGUACUUUUUAAAGAAAAAUAAUUAAUUUUAUAAAGGAUCUAAUUAUUUUUAUAAGAGAUGUUUUUAUUUUUAUUUUUUAUAAUAUACUUAUUUUGUGAAGGAUGUAUUUAUUUAUAUUGAUACAAAUAAUUGAAAGUUCAUUAGUACUUUUACGAUAAACCGUUAAUAUAUAUAUAUAUAUAUAUAUAUAUAUAUAUAUAUAUAUAUAUAUAUAUAUAUAUAUAUAUAUAAAAUUUAUUCAUUUUUCACGAGAAUAUACAUAUUUUCUAAAUAAUGUAUAAUGAAAUUAUUCUUCUUAACAAUAAAUUUAUUUUCUUUCAAGAUACACUUAUUUUUCUAAGAAAUGUACUUUUUUUUUCAAAAUGUGAUUGUUUUUUGGAAGGAUGUACUUAUUUAUAUUAUUACAAAUAAGUGAAAAUUUAUAUAUAGUUUACCGUAAAAAAUUAAUGUAUAUAUAAUAUACUUUUUUAAAGAAAAAUAAUUAAUUUUAUAAAGGAUUUACUUAUUUUUAUAAUAGAUGUUUUUAUUUUUAUUUUUUUGUAAUAUACUUAUUUUAAGAAGGAUGUAUUUGUUUAUAUUGAUACAAAUAAUUGAAAGUUCAUUAGUACUUUUUAUGAUAAACCAUUAAUAUAUAUAUAAUUUAUCCAUUUUUUUAAAGAAUGUACUUAUUUUUUUAAAGAAUAUACUUAAUUUCUAAGCAUUUACUUAUUUUCCAAAUUAGGACAAAUGAGUCACGAUAUUGAUAUGAUGCAUUUAUUUUUUAAUAGGGUUUACUUAUUAUCCUUUAACGUAGAAUUUACAAAAUGGUUCUUUAUAAAUUUUAAUACUUGUACAAGGAUAAAUAUUUAUUAUGAUUAAUUUUAGUUGCUUGGUUUUGCUUGCUAAUUCCUGUGGGGUAGGUGCUUGGAAUUUUUCAGUAGUGGCCUUCUUUUGCAGGUCAGUUGCGGGGAGUUGAAGAGAGCUGAUCAUGUUGCUUUUCCUCUUAAAGGAUCCAAAAUGAAAGAUGAAGCAAAUGAAAUCAAGGAUGCUUACAUUCCACCAUGUGCAACCAUGGGUUCUAAAGGGAGGAGCUUUGAGGCAAGGUAUGACAAAUUUUGUCACUGUGCCUGAUUAGCCCUGAUCUCACCACAAAAAGCUGCAGUAAUGGUAGAAGAAUAAAUAUAUGUAACUGGGAGCUUUGGCUUUCAGUUAUUCAUCUUACUGAAAAUCAUGUCAUUAGAUAUUAUUUUACGCACUUGUUCAUGUUUGUUGGCAUAUUGUAAGGCCAUAUAUAGAUAGCAUUACCAGCUGGCUAACAAGAAUAAGCUAACUUUGUGUGUGUGCGCACAGGUUUACAACAGAGCCGACGCCCAAGCAGCAACAGGUGAAGCCAUACAAGAAAGCACAUAUGCAUUUGGAAUUCCGGAGGCUGUUGUAACUUGUUACAUGCAUUCGGCCUUCUUAAAAGGAUUGAAAUAUGCCAAUGGUUCUUAUUCAGCUUGUCUUUGGCCUGUAUAACAAGUCUGUUUUCAUUGAUCAAGUGUUCCAACCAUAUGUUGCUGAUCAAUUGACUGUUCACCCUCCAUAAUUAUUUUCUCUGUGCUUCUGGGUUGUGUUAUCUUAUCUGAUUAACAUUACUUCACCGACAAUUUUUUUACAAUUGUUGGAACAAAUUUGGUGGUGUUAGUCUAGUUAAAAUAGACAGAUACUUGUAGUUGAGUAGCUCCUUUUCUAAAUUAAAUUUCUUAUUUCUCAAUAAAAUAAAUACAUCUACAUUUUUACAAAUAUAAUUAAUUUUCAAAAAUCAAAAUUAUUAAUUCCAAUGGUAGGUAAGACUAACUUAGCUUCCUUAAAAAAUUCUAUAUAAUAAAACUAAUGACACAAAUUCAAUUCAUUUAUUUGACCAUAAAAAGUUUUCACAUUCAUGGUUUCCAUAUUGGAUAUUACAUGACCUUUCAGUUUUCGUUGCUUAGGCAUGUAUGGAGUUGUCAUGUCUCAUUCUACAUCAAAGGAUGCUAGUUACGAAUACAUCAUGUUAAAAAAUAAGUGCAGUGGUUCAACAUCACAGUGGGGAUUGCUCUACAAAUUUGGCUUCAAGAAUGCCAGUGCAGUGGUUCUCACGGUCGUAGAAGGGCAGCAAGGUGCUCCAGCCAUGGUGCUGCUAAGUCAACAUUGAUUCUUUAGUUGUUGUACCAAGCACCUGUACGUAGAAUAAUGGUUUUGGAUUGUCUCAAGAUUUGUUUAACCACAAAAUAAUAAUAAUAAGAAUAAGACAUUGAAGCUACAGCUAACAAUUUAAGCAACCCCAAUCCCUUUGUUUUAUAGACUUGAAGGAGAAAUGAAGAUGAGUUACAACGGUAAGGACACCAUGCAUUUGGAGACAUUCUAGGUAGAGCUUUUAAAACAUUAAAAACAAAAAAAAUCUCUAUGCUUGAAAUAUGCAAAUCAAAAUCAACAAUAAAUUGAAAUAAGAAGCUGAAACAAAUGUCACGUGAUGCUAUUGUCAAUCCAGGAACAAGUCCUUCACUUUAAGAAUUAAUGGUUCAAUGAUAAGUUUUAUUCUUCUUCAUUAGCUGCCACAUCCAAUUCGAUUGUGUCCAGCAUCACCAUGGACUCUUUUACUUUUAGAAUAUUCUACUACCAUCAACCAAUGAUCAGCCAUAUUUCCAUACAAUAGAACUAAAAUGAUAAUAUAUUUCAAAAUAGUUAUUGGGAGUAAUUCAAUACAUUUGAAAAAUACAUGCCAUAAUUGAUGAUAAAAAUAUGAAAAUGAUUUUAAACAAAAAAGUUUUGAUAUAGAAAAAUUAAUAGUUUUUAUUUUUUGUUGUCUUAUAUGUAGUAGCUCAAGAUAUAUCCUUCACUUUGAAUGCAUUCCAAAUUUGAGUUAAUAGGAUGUAUACGUUCUUCACUACUUAAGUUUAAUUAUAAUCUAUUCCAAAUAUGAGUUUCUACAACUAAGUGUUUAGCUAAUCUUAAAAAAAAAAAAUGAAGUCAAGUUUUAGGCAUUAGGUUUCGGAUUUCCAAACUCAAUGUCGUAAAAUGGCUAAUAUUUAAAAUGAAUUAUAUUGAGAAGUGUUUCAAAUUCCUAAUUGUUAUAUAUUUCUUGUUGUGAAAAGAAUAUUAUGUAGAAUAUUUUUUAAAUUACAUGCGGUUGUAAUAAAAUUCUUUAUAGAAUAAAACCUAUCCAAAAAAAAAAUUCUUUAUAGGAUAAAGAAACCUAGUAGAAAUACCUCUCUAAAUAUUUAAUGUCAUGAGAGGAAAAAAGUUAUGAUAUGAGGUGGAGAUAGAGAUGAGAGGAAGAGUGAGAGACAACUAAUGAAAUAAGAGUGCUCACGGCUUAAGCUGUAGAUACAAAGUCCGGAAAACAAUGGAUGUUUAGUAACCUAGUGGUUGCAUCUGUUUUUGCUAUCUAUAAUAUUUUUUUAUUGUAUAGUGGAAUGUUAUUUCUCAUUUAUAAGUGUAGACAUAGUUGAUCGAAUCAUACUAAAACUUUGUGUACCUGUCAUUAAGACUUCCACCAACCCAAUAAAUGAUAUAAGAGUUUUUGUUGGCUUAACAAACUUAACAUUGUCUUUUCAAGAUGUAGUCAAAAGGCCUUUUAAAAGAUUUGUAUUUUAUUAUAAAAUAGAAAAGAAAGCAAUAUAUUCUUAUAUUGAUGAUAAAUACUUAGUCAAAAUUGUAUGGUGUUAUAUAGUCCGCACAUAUCUUAAAGUAAUUAGGAAGGGGGAGGAAGAUGGCUUACCAAUAAGUUUCCAUGAGGGCUUGAAUGAACAACUAAAAUAGAGAGAUGGUGGAAUAUAAAGAGGACUUUUCUAGCAAGUGCACCUGGCAAUGGAGCUUAAAGCUUGAGAUCAGUGCUGGAUGCUCUCAAUCUUUUAGGGUGUGGUUCCUGAUCAUCUGCUUGGUUUUCCCCAGCAUCAUCAUGGCCUUUUUGAUGAUCCGCCAACAUAGGCACAUUGUGGUGUAGAUAAUCAUGGGUGUAUAUCAGCUGAACCCCGCACCUCUUGAUAUUGGUCGCAUCAACCGCAGCCAGAAAGUGCCAUGGUUGUUUGCGGUGGUACUUAUUUGGAAUAGCAUUCUUAGGAUAGAGAGUCACCCACAAUCCAUCUGAUGCGUCAUCAUAACAGCGGUUGCAUUCACACCAAUUCCAAAUGCGGCUGUCAUUGUGGUCAUUGCAGUCACCCACAACUUCAUCCGGAUCACCGCGCAAUCUCAGACUAAAUCGAGAUGGAAUCGUACAAUGAGCGUAGUCACGAUAAAGAGUGAAGAAAGCAAAUCCCAGAAAGUGGUCAUCCUCGUACCAAUUCAGAGGAGGUUCUAUUCUUACUUGGCUUCCAAUCUCCUGAUGCAAUACCCACCCUGGAAUUCCACCAUUUCCUAGGAUAAUAAUCAUCUUGCCUUCCUUGCAAUUCAAGUGCUGCAUAUACAAUCAAAGCUAAUAUGUAAUUGGAGUACUACUGGGUGGAUGAAAAGUUUUAAGUGUCGUUAUUAAAUAAAAAUCGUACCUCAUUACUUGUUGGAUUGAACCAUUUGAGGAGGGAAGACCAGAGUAGAGAUGAUGGACUUGAUAACAUUUCCAGCUUCGUGCAAUAGAGGGCAUCUAUUUUUCGCAGACUCGAUGGAAGCUCUGGAAUGUCUUGGAGCAUCUCGCAGUGACUGAUAUCAAGGAAAUCAAGCUUACAAAGUUGAGAGAUGCCAGAAGGUAUGCUAACCAUAUGGUUCCAACUUAGAUUUAAUAUUUCCAAGGAAUUUAGGUCCCAGAUUUCAGUGGGUAUUGACCCUUCCAUUAGAUUGCAGUGACUGAAAUCUAGUUGUACUAUGGAGUAGAAGCCUUCCGGAUUCUUGGGAAACUUCUCCAAGUUUGAACAACCUCGUAGUGUCACAGAUCUCAAAUUAUAAAUGCUGUCUGGAAGAGUCACAAGGCAAUUGCUCAUAUCCAAACGCAAGAGGCUUUUCAGAUUUUGAAUUGAUGAUGGUAAUUCUUUUAUACCUGAACUUCUUAUAUCAAGAGAUUCUAAGCAUUUCAUAUCCUCCAUGAUUUCUGGAAAAGUAUCUAGAUUUGAACAACCAUGGAGAUCGAGCUGAACAAGGGACUUUAACCUGCAAAUGCUACUUGGAAGGCUCCUCAAGUUUUUGCACUUUGACAAAUAUAACCUCUUAAGUCUAGUGAGAAGUUCUAUUGAGGAGGGUAAUUCCUUAAUACCACAUCCAUCAAGGAGAAGAUCAGAUAAAGCUUUCAUAGGACUUCCCUUCAUCUCUGGAAAUUCCUCCAAGUUUGAGCAAGUCAUCAAGUUCAUAGCUUCAAGAGAGUCCAAGUAUUGAAUGCUACUUGGUAAACUCGUAAGGUUUUCGCACCCCAGCAAAUUCAACACGGUAAGCUUCUUGAGAUCUCCAAUAGAUGGAUCAACAACAUUCAAACUCGUACAAUCUGCAAGUAUUAACGUCUCUAGAUUUGGCAUAUUUGAGAACGAUGUUUCAGUGAGUUGCCUUGAUCCAGAUAAAUUUAAGAACUUCAACUGCUCCAAACGCUGUGACAAAAGGAAUUUUGGUUUAGUAAAUGAAUUUUCGCAAAAAAAAAAAUUAAUCUCAAACAAAAUAAUAUGAUCAUGAAAUACUAGUUAUACCUCAUUUCUUUGCAUAAGUUGUUUUAUGUUGCUAUCCUUCAUGUUGAGUUCAAUAAGGUUCACUCCAAGAAAAUUUGACGGCAAUGAUUUGAAAGGGUAUCCUUCCCAAUGAAGAUAUCUCAACUCAUGUGCAGGGAAUUGAAAAUCUUCAGGAAGAAUAACUUUCAACUGCUUUUCCAUGGUACCAUAAUAACCGCUCGAAUAAAUCUUGAGCAAUCUAAGUUUUUUCAUCUUUGCAAAAAUCUUUGUACUAACUUCUAGUGGUGUCGAUCUAGACAAGUCCAAGAAUAUUGCCUCAACAUUUUUCAUCCCCUACAGACAAUAACAAAGAAUUAGGCAAGCAUAAAAGAGAUAAAGCUAGCUAAAAUUGAAUGGAUGUGUAACUUAGACAAAAAUGAUAUCGCUCAAAUUUAAAUAUUUUUAUGAAGUUUAAGAAAGUUCAUGAGUUUGAUGGUUACCCCCAUUCUAAAUGCACGACAGAUAUCACUCGGAUCCCACAAUCUCCUCCAUUUUGUAGGAUCACCAAGAUAUUCACUACGAAUAAUGUUCCAUCCCAUUUGUUGUAUCAAAUCAUGCAUAAGUAUCUUAUUUUCAGAAAGAGAUAUAAGACACUUAUCACAGAGGGCUCUUAUUCCUCUCUCUGCAUAAAAAUUACAACCGUCCAAUAUUCUUGAAACAAAGUCUUUGUCUUUCCCUUUAAAACAACAUGCAAUAUCAAGAAAUAUUUCCUGCUGUGUAUAAUCUAAUCCGUCAUAGCUUACUUUAAGCACAUCAGAAAUUCCCACUUCAAGUUCUCUUUCCAAUUUAGACAAUUCACUUUCCCAUUGGGGUAUUGCCUUGUUAAACAAAAAAGAACCCAAGACUUUUAGAGCUAAAGGAAGGCCAUGACAAUAAUUGACUACACGAUCCGAGAGGUCGAUGAAGUCUUGUUUAGGAAGAUUUUGUCUAAAAGCAAAGAGACUAAAAAGCUCACGAGCUUGUUUAGAAUUUAAUUCCUCAACCUCAUAUACGUCAUCCGUUUCUUGUAACAAAUGUUUAUUUCUUGUUGUUAUGAUGACUCUGCUUCCUCUUCCAAGCCAAUCACGAUUUCUGAGUAAAUAUUCUAAUUGAUUUGAAUGAUCAAUGUCAUCAAGAACAAUAAAAACUCUUUUACAUCGGAGAACAUUUUUUAUCGUAUUGGCUCCUUGGCCAACAUUGCUUACAUUUUGAUUUCUCUCCACUUGUAGUAGAUCACAAAGAAAUUGAUUUUGUAAAUGAUGCGAACCCAUAGUAUUGCCAACUUCUCUAACAUUUUCGAGAAAGCUCAUAUACUCAAAUUCAUGAGAAAAUCUAUUAUAUACAACUUUGGCGAUAGUCGUUUUACCCAUUCCACCUAUUCCACAUAUACCAAUGAUACGAACAUCAUUCAAUUGAUCAACACAUAGGCGCCGAAUUAUCUCAUUUACAUGAGAAUCCAUACCAACCAAGUUGUCAUCAACAUCCAACAUUCUACAAUUCAAUCUCCUGAAUAUAUCCUUGACGAUUUCAUUAACAUGCCCGGACUCAUACCUGUCAAUUGUAAAGUAUAUGUGAUGAUUAAUUAAGCUAUAGCUAAUAAAAAAAUAUAAAAAAGAUUACACGUGAAGCUUCUUCAUGAGAAAUGAAUCAUAAUGAAAAAAAAUAUAUCAAAAGUAUUAAGUUUUAAAACUCAAAUUACGUUUUUAGGACAUUUUCAUUGUAUCAAGUAUACAAGACAAUGAAAACAAAAUAUGCACUUGUGCGACAUUGUCAAAUUGAUUUUUUUUUUUUUUCCGGAACAUUUAUAGGCUGGAGCAAAUUUAUACCAAACAAAAUCAUAUUGUAAUGACCCACUCUCUUGUGCAUAUAUAGAAAUCAUUUGCAGCUCUCUCUCUCUAUGUUAUAUGUAACAUUAUAAUUACCCAAUCCCUUAUCCACAAUGUAGACACAAGGUACUCAUCAUGUCUCAUAAUAUCAUGGGUUUGCAGGUCUUCAGUGACUUUCUUGAUAUACUUUUAAUAUUUCAUGACUUACAAUAAUCAUAAAUGACCUCCAAAUCUCUUCAACUAUUACUCUAUAAUCAUAAAAAUGUCUGAUUCCUGUGCCAGUAAAUAAAGCCUACUUAUAAAUGAAAGUUGAAGGGAAAUUAAUAAAGCUUUACCCAUUCUUCUCCACAUGCUCUCCACCUAUAUUGGCUGCUUCUGUCAAUGCACUCCUCCAACUUCGCACCUUCCCUUUCAUCUCCUCUGUAUCUUCUUUGUAAUUGGAAAAUGCCUCUCCAAACCUUCCUGUCUGGUGCCGUACAUGGGAUGGAUCCACAUGGUAGAAAAUCGGUACCACAGUUUGUUUCAUUUCUUUCCUGCACUUCAUGAUCUUCACCAGCUCAUCUAAACACCAUCUGGAACCAGCAUAGUUUUCCGAGAAAACUAUUAGGGAAAACCUUGAUUCUUCAAUAGCUUUUAGGAGUUCAGGCGCAAUCUCUUCCCCUCUCUUAAGUGAAUCAUCAUCUCUAAAGGUAGUAAUACCUCUUCGAAUCAAAUUUGCAUGCAAGUGAUCAGUGAAAUUGAAUCGGGUGUCUUCACCUCGAAAACUCAAGAAAACAUCAUACUUCCAUUGUGGGAUGAAAGUAGAAAUAGAAGUAGAAGUAGAACUUGUGGAAGCCAUAGGAAACUUUUGCCAAAAUUAGAACUCAGAAGAGAUUUUGCAGAAUUGUGAGUGUAGAUUGUGCUGUUUUUUAGCCAAAAUUUGGGGAUGAAAGACUUUGGGUCAAUGGAGUGUACAGAAAAUAAUAAUCUCCUCCAACCAUUUGAGUAUGAUCCAGUCCACCGCGUGGAGCACUACAGCUGGUCAUCGAUGACUCCGGUUGUCACUGACAGUGGGUGUUAAAAAGCAGCGCCCUAUAAAAAUCUCCUCCAACCAUUGCGAGUCUCCUUAAAUCUCCUCUACUCGCUCUCAUCUUCUGCCACCGUUCUAAAUUUUUCUCAUCUCUAUAAAAAUAAAAGUAUAAAAUAUAUUUAAAAUUUAUAUAUUUUAAAAUUAUUUAAUUUUUAUAUAAUGAAGAAAAUUAAAUAAAAUAAAUUUUUAAAAAUAUAUAAAAAUAAUUUAUUAAUUUUAUAUGUAUUUUAUAUUUUCUUUCAUUUUUUUUAUUUUUUUAUUUUUUUAUUUGUUUCCCUCGUAUUUUCUAUGGGUGUUCAUACACCUUUUAGCUCCUUCCUCUCUUUUUCCCUCCAGGGAACACUUGAAGAUGUUCAACUUUAAUUUUACACUUCAUUUUCAAAUUAAUUUAAAUCACAUAUUCAAAAUUAAAAACAUAAAAAAUAAGAAGCUUAACGAAAGCGCAACAUGCGGGCAAAAUGGUCAAAUUCGUGACGUAUAAGAAUAUGAUUUUUAUGAGAUAUGAUAUUUUUAAAUAUUAAAUUUAAUAGACAUGAUAUUUUAAGAUAGUAUAUUUGAUCAGAUAUAUUACGUUAUAGUUCUAUUUAGUUUGUAAAAAAAAAAAAAUUAUAUGGGCAUAAUCCAAAUACAUAUAGGCUAUAUUUGAUUCUCAUAAAAUUUAUAAAAAAAAAAAUAGAAAAAAAAUAAAAAAUAGAUUAAAAAAUAAUAAAUUAUUUUUAUAUGUUUCUUUAAAUUUAUUUAACUUAUUUUUUUUAUUAUAUUAAAAUUAAAUAAUUUUAAAUUAUAUAAAAUUUUAAUUAAUUUUAAUUAUAUUUAAUUUUUUUAUAAUUUUUUACCGUCAAAUCAGGUAUAAGAAAAUUAUUUUUUUAAUAAUUUAUUUUUAUUUAUUUUUAGUCCUUUCCGAGAGACAAACGCACCCAUAAUGUAUGGACGCAUAUCACUUAUACUGAACUGGAUUGUAGGACAAGCAUUAACUCUCUAAAGGCGUUGGGUGAAGACUUUUUUUUUUUCUCUUUUUGACUUAGUUGAUCCUUUUACUGUAGCAAAAAAAAAUUUAGAAUGAUUCGACCCGCUUUGAGACGUUUUGAUCAUGCUUUAUCAAAAUUUUCUACUGAAAAAUGAGCCGUCCAAAAGUGAUAAGAAAAAAAAAAGAAGAAGAAGAUAUUUUUAACUGUGAAAAAUGAUUUUUUUAAUUUAUUUUUCAUAAAAAUAUUGUAGUACAAAAGUUGUUAAAGUAUUACUAAAAUCAUUAUAUAAAAAAUAAAUAAAAACACUUCAAAUGUGUUUUUCAAAACAAAUUAUUAAAAAAGUCAUAUCAAUUUUAUCAGCUCUUAAAAGUCAUAUCAAUGCCUAAGAGCCAAAGAUUCCAACCACUCAAGUGACCCCUCCAUGACGGAAAUGCUAGCAACAAGUAAGGAAUAAACUUACGAUCACAGAAUCAACUGGAUCAACAAAUUUUAGACAUGACCUUAGUUCUUUCCAAUUUUGAGCAGAACAGAUCCAGUUCUUUGAUUCCAGUUAGUAAGAGGGAAAUCGAACUAAGAAAUUGAUCUUAAACUUCUAUCUUCAGCCAUGAAUCCUUUACUCACAAUCAUUGAAUUGGAAGCAUUGAUCCAAUUCAAAAAAAUAAUGUUUCAUAAUUCCAUAAUACAAUUCAAAAUUUUCAGGCAAAGCAAGAGAAUGUGUAUUCUUCCCUGAAUCCAUCAUUGACAGGUAAAGGAUUAAAUCAUGUUAACAAAUAAAGCUUUUGGUUGGAAUAUGAAUCAAACCAAAGGAACCCUGAACUCUUAAGGAGGUUAAUAGAAAAAUCACGCUUUUACCACUAAACUUUAUCAAAUAUAGUGUGAUUAUUGUCUAUAAGAAACCUUCUGCCAAAUAAAGGAAUAAGAUAUUAUCAAGACAGGAUAAGAAAAGGAUUACAAAAAAUUAGAAUUACAAAAAUUAAAAUUAAAAAAAAAAAUUUUAAAUUGAUUAUAAAAUUGCACCAGACUAGCAAUGAAAGAAUAUAAUUGCAGGUGUGAAACUGGGAAAGGGAAGAGAGUCCGGUCGCCGAGAAGCGUGAAAAAUGGGUCUGAAAAAGAUAGUAGAAGCGUUCAAAACAAGGUGGGUCGUAAAGAUGGCCCGCCAUUAAGACCAUUUCGUUCUUGACGUGUCCAAAACGUUAUGUACUUGUUAUUUUCUAUGGGUGUUAUACCUUUUAGCUCCUUCCUCUCUUUUUCCCUCCAGGGAACACUUGAAAAUUUGGUCGUGAAAGACUUUGGGCCAAUGGAGUGUACAGCCUCUAACCAUUUGAGUGUGAUCCAGUCCACCGCGUGGAGCACUACAGCUGGUCAUCGAUAACUCCGGUUGUCACCUGUUAUAUUUAUAUAUAUAUAUAUAUAUAUAUAUAUAUAUAUAUAUAUAUAUAUAUUGUUGGUUAAAAAAUAAAGUGUAAGAAGAGUUACACUUUUGAAAAUAAUUUUUGGAAAAUAAAGUGUAAGAAGAGUUACACUUUUAAUGUGUGAAUUAAACACAUGAUUAAGUUUUGAAAUGUUACAAAACUUGAAAGGUUGAGGAAGACAAUAAGUCUUCUCAUCUUUGUAACUUUAUAAACUUAAGAGGUUAAGUGUAAGAGAGUUACACAUUUGAGAUUAAAUCAUGUUUAAUGUGUGAAUUAAACAUAUGAUUUAAUUUUGAAUAUUACAAAGAUGAAGAGGUUGAAGAAGACAAUGAGUCUUCUCAUCUUUGUAACUUUAUAAACUUAAGAGGUUAAGUGUAAGAGAGUUACACAUUUGAGAUUAAAUCAUGUUUAAUGUGUGAAUUAAACAUAUGAUUUAAUUUUGAAUGUUACAAAGAUGAAGAGAUUGAGGAAGACAAUGAGUUUUUUCUCAUCCUUGUAACCUUUUUUCAACCCUAAGAGUGUUAUAUAUAUGACUUUUCUUCUUUUUGAAAUCUUAUGCAGAAAAGUGAAAAGGCUUGAUCAAUCCCAAGACUAUUUCCAUUUAGUUCUCAAAAAGAUUUCUAGAGGUGGGAGGAAAUAGAGUCUUUGGACAAAGUUCUAAGAACUUGUUUGAACCUUUCUUGUGUUCUUCUUCUUUUUGUUCUUAUUUUGUAUCUAAGAGAGUUUUAUUGUAUCAAAGUGAGUGUGUGAGAGUGUUUCCUUUCUCCAUUGUAUCCAAAUUUUUUCUCAACAAUCAAAGACUCUAUUCUCAAUGGAGGGAGAGACUAUCAAGAUUAUGAACCAAGACCUUGUGAGGUUGGAUUGUUUUGAUGGUUCCAACUUCACUAGGUGGCAAGACAAGGUGAGAUUCCUUCUCACAGCACUCAAGAUUUUCUACAUCCUUGAUCCUACCUUGGCACCAUUACCGGAACCAAAGGAAAAUGACACACCUCAAGUGGUGGCGGCAAGGAAGAAGAGGGAGGAGGAUGAACUCAUAUGUAGGGGUCAUAUUUUGAACGCCUUAUCCGAUAGGCUAUAUGAUCUCUACACCAACACCAAUUCCGCGAGGGAGAUUUGGGAGGCUCUUGAAAACAAGUACAAAGCCGAGGAAGAAGGUACAAAAAAGUUUCUUAUUUCUCAAUACAUAGAUUUCAAAUUUUUUGAUGAAAAGCCUCUCUUACCACAAAUUCAUGAGUUGCAAGUAAUUGUAAAUAAGUUGAAAGUUCUCAAAAUUGAACUUCCGGAGGCCUUCCAAGUUGGUGCUAUUGUGGCUAAAUUACCAUCAAGUUGGAAAGGUUACCGGAAGAGGAUUCUCCACAAGAGUGAAGAUUACUCCUUGGAAGAGAUUCAAAAACAUCUUCGCAUUGAGGAAGAAUCGAGAUCAAGAGACAAAAUGGUAGAAGAGUCCAAUGGUGGGACUAACAAAGCCAAUGCGAUUUCAAAGGCCAAUCAUCCUAGAGGUAAAAAUAACAACAACAAAAAGAAUUCCGGAAAUUACAUGAGCCCCAAGAAAAAUCAAGAGCAAUUUAAUGGCAAGAAAGGUCCUUGUUUUGUGUGUGGAAAACCCGGGCAUUAUGCUAGGGAGUGUAGGUUCCGAAAGGACCAAAAAGGGGAUGUGGUGAAUGCAAUUGAUGAGGAGAUCAUUGCAACACUAAGCGAUGUGUGCGUUGUCCAAGGAAAGGUGCAAGGAUGGUGGUAUGAUACUUGUGCCACAAUUCAUGUUACCUAUGACAAAUCUCUUUUCAAGACCCUUGAAGAUGCAAAGGGAGAUCAAGAGGUUCAAAUGGGCAAUGAAGGAAGAUCCAAGGUGCUUGGCAAGGGCACUAUUGAAGUUGUUUUUACCUCCGGCAAAAAGGUUACCCUUAUAAAUGUAUUGUAUGUCCCCGAUAUGAAUAAAAAUUUGGUUAGUGGGGAUUUGCUUGGCAAACCGGGUAUCAAAGCGGUGUUUGAAUCCGGUAAGCUAAUUUUAUCCAAAUCGGGGAACUUUGUGGGAAAGGGGUAUUCUUGUGAUGGGAUGAUCAAACUUUGUACCAAUGACAAUAUCAUUAAAAUGGAUUCUACUUCCGCUUAUAUGUGUGAUUCAAAUUCUUUAUUUUUGUGGCAUAAUAGGCUUGCACAUGUUGGUUUAAGCACUAUUAAAAGGAUUGUGAAAUGUGGUUUGAUUGCUUGUGAUACCAAGAAAUUUGAAAAGUGUGAAAUAUGUGUUAAAUCAAAGAUGAUUAAAAAGUCUUUUCAUAGUGUUGAGAGAUCAUUUAAUUUGCUUGAUUUAAUACAUAGUGAUCUUUGUGAACUUAAUGGCAUGUUAACAAGAGGUGGAAAUAAGUAUUUUCUUACAUUCAUAGAUGAUUGUUCUAGAUUUACCUAUGUGUUUUUGUUGAAAAACAAAAGUGAAACUUUCAAUGCCUUUAAAGUUUACAAAGCCGAAGUUGAGAAUCAACUAGGAAAAAAUAUUAAGGUGCUUAGAAGUGAUAGAGGUGGUGAAUAUUUCUCUAGUGAAUUCAAUUCUUUUUGUGAAGAAUAUGGCAUAAUACAUGAGUGCACCGCACCCUAUACACCUCAACACAAUGGCAUAGCGGAGAGAAAGAAUAGAACAUUCUUGGAAAUGGUGAAUGUUAUGUUAUUGCAUGCUAAAUUGAAUUUCAAUUUGUGGGGUGAAGCUUUGUUGACUGCUUGCCAUAUUUUGAAUAGAAUUCCUAUGAAGAAAAAUGAGAUAUCUCCAUAUGAGUUAUGGAAAGGAAGGAAGCCUAAUAUAGGUUACUUCAAAGUGUGGGGGUGUCUUGCUUAUUGCAAGAAAAAAGAUCCAAAUAAAACAAAAUUGGGUCCAAGAUCCAUUAAGUGUGCAUUUGUAGGCUAUGCCUCAAAUAGCAAAGCUUAUAGGCUAUUAAACUUGGAGUCUAAUGUGAUAAUUGAAUUAAGAGAGGUAGAGUUCUUUGAGAAUCUGUUGAGUGAUAGCAAUUCUCAAGUACCUACUAGUGUUGGAGAGUCUCUAGAGGAAACACCUUCAAAGGUUGUUGAGCAACCCAUUGUGCCUCGGAAAAGCCAAAGAGCUAGAAAAGAGAAAGUGUUGGGAUCGGAUGAGAUUGACUCUCAAAGAAUUUCCUUUUACUUAGUAGAAGGAAAUAGAGAAGAUAUUAUAAGAAAAAUUCCUAUAGUACUUCAAAUAGAGGAGGAUCCCAAAACAUACAAAGAAGCUAUGGCUUCUAGAGAUGUUGCUUUUUGGAAAGAGGCUAUCAAUGAUGAAAUGGAUUCAAUUAUGUCCAACCAAACAUGGGAAUUGGUAGACCUUCCACCAGGAUCUAAACCAAUAGGGUGCAAGUGGGUAUUUCGAAGGAAAUAUCACACCGAUGGCAUGAUUCAAACCUUUAAGGCUAGAUUAGUAGCUAAGGGGUUUAAACAAAGAGAAGGUAUUGAUUAUUUUGAUACCUAUGCGCCGGUGGCUAGAACAACAUCGAUUAGGAUAUUGUUUGCUUUGGCAUCAAUUCAUAAUCUAUUUGUUCAUCAAAUGGAUGUCAAAACGGCAUUCUUGAAUGGGGAUCUCAAUGAGGAGGUCUACAUGGAACAACCGGAANGUUUUGUUCUACUGGGGAAUGAAAACAAAGUGUGUAAGCUUGUCAAUCAUUAUAUGGUUUAAAANNNNNNNNNNNNNNNNNNNNNNNNNNNNNNNNNNNNNNNNNNNNNNNNNNNNNNNNNNNNNNNNNNNNNNNNNNNNNNNNNNNNNNNNNNNNNNNNNNNNUAGACACAACAAUGUGGACAAGUGCUUAUAUUCUAAGACUUGUGAUGACUAUAUGGUCAUAGUGUGUCUAUAUGUGGAUGACAUGUUAAUCUUGAGUGAUGACAUGAAAGGAAUAAUAUAAAUGAAAAGGUUUCUAUCCUCAACCUUCAAGAUGAAAGAUCUUGGAGAAGUUGAUACUAUAUUGGGUAUCAAAGUGAAAAGAAAUAGUGGGGGUUAUGCUUUGAACCAAACCCACUAUAUUGAGAAAGUAGUUAGCAAAUUUAGUCAUCUCAAGAUUAAAGAUGCUAAUACUCCAUUUGAUUCAAGUAUAAAACUUGAAAAGAAUGAUGGUAGAUCGGUGGCUCAACUUGAGUAUGCAAGUGCAAUUGGAAGUCUUAUGUAUGCUGCUCAGUGUACUAGGGCUGACAUUUCAUUUGCAGUUAGUAAACUAAGUAGGUUUACUAGCAAUCCAAGCGUGGAACAUUGGAAAGCUAUUGGUAGAGUUCUUGGUUACCUAAAGAAUACCAAAGAACUAAGCCUCCAAUAUUCAAAGUUUCCUGCUAUACUUGAAGGGUAUUCAGAUGCAAGCUGGAUAUCGAGUGUGGGAGAUAAUUUAUCUACCACAGGUUGGGUGUUUACACUUGGUGGUGGGGCUGUCUCUUGGGGAUCCAAGAAACAGACUUGUAUAUCACAUUCAACCAUGGAGGCAGAGUUUAUAGCUUUAGCUGCAACUGGAAAAGAAGCUGAGUGGCUUAGGGAUCUCAUGAUGGACAUCCCUUUUACUGCAAAUAAUGUGUCAACAGUGUCGAUACAUUGUGACAGUUAAGCCACUCUAGCUCGUGCGUACAGUGGAGUGUACAAUGGGAAGUUUAGACAUAUAAGCAUUAGACAUGAGUAUGUAAGACAAUUGAUUCAAAAUGGAAUCAUCUCAAUCUCAUUUGUGAGGUAAAGUGGAAACUUGGCGGAUCCUUUUACUAAACCUCUUACAAGAGAUUUAGUAAGGAUAACAUCUAGAGGGAUGGGACUAAAACUCCUUAAAUAAAACUCACCAAUGAUGGUAACCCAACUUAAUACUACGAAAUGACUAGUCUUAAGUUCAAUGGGUAAAAACAAGUCAUUGAUAAGUGGGUUGUGGCAGCAUUAGAACAUGUGAGUUCCAUAUGUGAUGAUUAAUGCUGGUUGUUACCGUUGGAGGGUUAAGCUUAAAGCUUUUAAUGAAAUUCAGUCUAUGUGUGACAAGCAUCUUAAAGGUAACAAGGAUGCUGAAAGAAUUUCACCUAUGUGAACUUAGGGGUGGUGCCGCCUCUCAUGAGAGUUGGAGUUUCUUUCAAGAAAGUUCAUGAAUGGAUUGAGCACAUGGCCAUAAAAGUGCUAAGCAAGAAAAUAAUGGGCACUCGUGUGGUUAGUGUAAGUGUGUGUGUUGUUACCGGUUUCGUUACAAGGAAUAACUGGUUCAAUGCUACAAGCAACCUGGGAUUUCAACGGAGCUUUGUGACAAUUACACUAAGAUAAAAUUCAAAUUGAAAGAUAUUUUAUUUUAUGCAUUUUCACUAUUAAGGUUAUAAGGGUUUAUGUUUAUUUUUAACCAAGUGGGGGAUUGUUAUAUUUAUAUAAAUAUAUAUAUAUUGUUGGUUAAAAAAUAAAGUGUAAGAAGAGUUACACUUUUGAAAAUAACUUUUGGAAAAUAAAGUGUAAGAAGGGUUACACUUUUAAUGUGUGAAUUAAACACAUGAUUAAGUUUUGAAAUGUUACAAAACUUGAAAGGUUGAGGAAGACAAUGAGUCUUCUCAUCUUUGUAACUUUAUAAACUUAAGAGGUUAAGUGUAAGAGAGUUACACAUUUGAGAUUAAAUCAUGUUUAAUGUGUGAAUUAAACAUAUGAUUUAAUUUUGAAUGUUACAAAGAUGAAGAGAUUGAGGAAGACAAUGAGUUUUUUCUCAUCAUUGUAACCUUUUUUCAACCCUAAAAGUGCUAUAUAUAUGACUUUUUUUCUUUUUGAAAUCUUAUGCAGAAAAGUGAAAAGGCUUGAUCAAUCCCAAGACUAUUUCCAUUUAGUUCCCAAAAAGAUUUCCAGAGGUGGGAGGAAAUAGAGUCUUUGGACAAAGUUCCAAGAACUUGUUUGAGCCUUUCUUGUGUUCUUCUUCUUCUUGUUCUUAUUUUGUAUCUAAGAGAGUUUUAUUGUAUCAAAGUGAGUGUGUGAGAGUGUUUCCUUUCUCCAUUGUAUCCAAAUUUUUUCUCAACAUCACCGACACUGGGUGUUAAAAAGCAGCGCCCCAAAAAAAUCUCCUCCAACCAUUGCGAGUCUCCUUAAAUCUCCUCUACUCGCUCUCAUCUUCUACCACCUUUCUAAAUUUUUCUCAUCUCUAUUUAGUUAUGUUGAUUCUCGUAAAGUAUUAAAAAGGAAAACUAAAAAUAAAAGUAUAAAAUAUAUUUAAAAUUUAUAAAAAAAUUAUAUAUUUUAAAAUUAUUUAAUGAAGAAAAUUAAAUAAAAUAAAUUUAAAAAAAAUAUAAAAAUAAUUUAUUGAUUUUAUAUGUAUUUUAUAUUUUCUUUCACUCUUUUUUAUUUUUUAUUUUGCUUCCCUCAUAUUUUUCUUUUAAAUUUUAUGGAAUCAAGCGUAAUCUUAAUUUUUUAAAGGGUUAAUUUCAUUUAUCUCGCUGACUAAAUACAUUUAUCUUUUUUAACUUCAAAAUUUCAUCAUGUAUGUUUUUAAAGAUGAGUAAAAAUAAAAAUAAAAAAUUAUAAAAGAGAUAUUGAAUAAAAUUUAAAAUUUAAAAAAAUAGAUAUAUUUAAUUAAAAUCUUUGAGGAAGUGAAUGAAAUUAAUAUUUUUUUGAAUUAAAAAUAUUUUAGACAUGAUAAGAAGAUCCCAAAUUAACAUAGAUGUAUAAUGAGACUCUUUUUUUAUUAUUUGUUUUUAAAAAUUAGCAAGUUUAUUAAAAUAAUUGCAUGACAUGAGGACAAAUAUUUAAUUAUUUUUUACUUUCUCCAUAAUUACUAAAAUUAAGUGAUCAAGAAUUCCAACAUAUGAAAGAGUGAUUGGAGAGAGCAAGAGCACGCGCUGAUGGAUCAUCUCACUUUGGGUGAUGUCAGUUCCAGCUGGACGGUACAAUCGCACUAUACAUAACUUGCUAGGGAAGGGUGGUAGUUGGAGAAUGAAUUAUUAUGGAGUGAGACUCGUAGGGAUCAUGAAUAAAGGAACCAAAUUCGGUGUCUACUGCAAUCACUCUAAAGUCUUGUCAUGUUUAAUUCUUUGCUAUAACCUUUGUUUAUUUAAUUCUCCACUCCCAUGCCUUUUCUCUCACUCACACUUGAAUGAAGUGUUCAAACAUAAGACUCUUGGGGAUGGUAUGGGAUUUCUCAAAUGGUUCAAGGCCACUUCCUUAAAUUUACGAAAUAAGAAUGUUUGGUGCCAAGGUUUACAAUACAAGAACACGAUAGUGACUCCCUAAUUCUGGGCACAAGUUUCCUCUUCCAUGUCCGAUGUAAGAUUGGGAUUGCAUUUUUAAAGCUAAAUAGAAAAAUAACAUAACUUGCAAGGGAAGGGGCUUGGAACCAGAGACCUUGAGCAACGGAUGAUGGCCUCUUUACUCUUAGCACCAAACUACUUAUGCUUGGUGUUGUCGCCUCGCGCAUCCGGUGGUCCACGUGGUUGCUGGAUGGAUGGACACGCGAUUCUCAACACACAAAGGGUUCUUGACUCAGCGGUUGUACCUGCAAAAAGGCAUCCGGACAGGGUGUCCGGACGCACCCUCCGAUGGUUUUGUUAGCCAUGGUGAAAGAGAGAUAUAUAAAUCAGUUGGCCCUUUACUAGGUAUCAAGAGGUUACCAGGGGAUCAGCCCUUUCUUCUUCAUGCGAAGGCAUAUAUAUACAGCUUCAGGGGUACUGUUCCUCUCAUUAAUGGUGAGGAGAUAUUUUCUGUUGUGAUGAUGACAAUAGGUGUUAGUAGGAGCACUAUCAUCCUACGAAUGGCUGUCAGAGACCAUGGUAGGUGAUGCGGCUGUCAGAGAUCGUGGGAAGCGAUUAUGUAGAAUGAUCGUGGGAAGUGACUUGCUGUCACUUCCUCUUGUCUUCUCAUUCUGCAGGUGAUGGGAUGUGGGCCAUGGCUGCUUGUUGUGAUUGCGUGUAAGACUCGCUUUACUUUAAUUGACCAUCCAGACGAUUUAUAUCCGGAUGGAUCAUGCUGAUUAUCCGGAUGUGUUGUGGAGACUAUCCGGGUGUCUACGCUCUGCCAGCGUCGUUUGCUCUUCCUUGGAUAGGAGAAGCUGAAACGUCAUUUGUUUUUCCUUGAGGGGUUCCGGAUAGGAUAGCCGCACCAUGCAUAUCUUUAGGGGAAUCCGGAUGAUGAUGGUCCGGCUGAUAACACGUGCCACGCGUCACCAUGAGCUGCGUGCCACGUGUUUCCCAAGGGGAGGGGUCCCUACACUUGGGUAUUAUAAAAGCACAUAAAUUCUAUUAUAUCUUUUAUCUUUUAUAUAUUAUAAAUUAAUUCAAAUAUAAUUAUUUUAAAUUAAUUAAUUUUAAUUAUUUUAUUAUUUAUGUCAUAAAAUAAUUAAAUACAAGGCAAAUAUAAAUUUUUAAAUAAAAUUAUCAUAUUUUUAAAUAAAAAAAACUUACAUAUAUUAUUAUUUAUUUUAUAUCCUUCCAUAUAUAUUAUAAUUUGUUUGUUAAAAUUAAAACAAUUUCAAUAUAUGCAUUAUUAAUUUUUCUAUCAUUUUUAGAGGUUUUUUUUUUCAAUAUUUCUGUAAUUUAUUUCAUCAAUUUUCGUGUGUGUAUAUAUAUAUAUAUAUCCGUAAAAUCAGGUCGUCAAUAUAUUUUUUUUAAUGAAAUAAAAUCAUAGUUUAAUUUAAAUAAAAUUCUCUAAACCAAAAAAAACAGAAAAUAAAAAAUAAAAAAUUCUUUUCACUAACUCAUAAAUGCCAUUAUGGUCCAAUUUGAUAUAAUCAUCAAAGUCUCCAUCCCAAGUCUAAAACAAAAAUUACUAUAGUUCAUUCACAACCUACUAGAGUAAUCAAAUUACAUAUACUUAAAUUCACCAAAUUAGUAUAAGUUCAAAGGUUUAACAAAGGUGAUUGUUAAAAUUUUUAAGUAGCUCAUAAACCUCAUUUAGAACCCUUCAUGAUCCUCCUGUAAGUCUUCAAGAAUAAUAUCUACAUCUAAAAAAUUUUUAAAAGAAAAAAUUGAACAUUUUCACAUUUCAAAAUAGAAUGUCUUACACCCCAAAAGGUUAGUGGGUAAUCAUUAAGGGUUAAGUGUAUUACAAUAAACAUUUAAACAUUAAAUAACCAUUCAAACAUUAAUCCAAAUGUUUUAUUUUAACAUGAAUAUACAACAUGCACACAUUUUGAUAAUUAAAUAAAAAUACAAAUAGAGAUAUAAUACAUGAUCAUAUGAUGUGUCCAUAAUCAAAUACAAUCCCCAUUCAAAAUUUUCUUAGGGUAAAUUUUUGUGUCUUUCACACUAGAAUUUUAUUCUUUUCUUAAUUCAUCCACUUUGGCACCUUGUUUUUCAUCUUUUAUUUUAUUUUUUUUAAUCCAUUUCAUAAAACCUUUAAUUAUUAUUGUUUUUUCAAUUAUCAUAAAUUUUAUCAUCAAUAAAUGAUCAUUUCAUUAUUUUCAUCAACAAAAAAUUCAUAAAUCCUCAAGAAGUAAAAUCUAAACAAUAAUUAUAUAUUAAAUCACAUGCAAGAAUCACAAAUAUAAACGGAUCUAUCUCACAACAAGAUCUAUAAUUUUUUUUUAAAUAUAUUAAAUAAAAAUUUUAAGGAUAAGUCAUCCUACCAAAUACCAAAAUCCAACCGUUAAAUUUAAAAUUAGACUCCGUAGCAAAAUUCUCCAUGUGAAAUAAAAUAUCCUCCUAAAAAAUCACACCCAACGAACUACGUUUGAUCUAUCCAACAACCUUUGAUCACCUAUGGUACAAGCCCUCUUUUCUUUUCUAUUUCUUUUUUUUGUUUUUUGUUUAUCUCAUUUCUCUCUACUGUCAUCCAACUCAUUUCUCUCUUUGUUUGACAUUUUCUCUUCUUUUUCUUUUUAACUCUUCACCAUGACUUCCACACAAGUACUUUUGGCUCCUUUUAUUAUUAUUAUUACAACUUCUCCAUACUAUUUUUUAUACAUAUCCUUAAAAAUAUUUAAUUCUCCUCAAAUUAUUUUUAUUAUGAUAUACAUUUUUUUUUCCAAACUAUCAUUUAAAAAAAAAAAUUAAAUUUCUUAUUUCUCAUUAAAAUAUAUCUCCUAAUAGUACUAAUCAUAUAUCUACAUUUUUUCAAACUUAAUUAAUUUUCCAAAAACCUAGAUUAUUAAUUCCAAUAGUAGUUAAGACUUAACUUCUUAAAAAAUCUUGUUUAGUACAACUGACAUGACACAAAUUUAACUCACUUCUUUGACCAUCAUUAUAAUUCUUUGAAUUCUUUCCAAUUCUUUGACUCAUGUUCUUCGGUUAGCAUUUUUUGACUUUUCAACCAUAACUUGUUAGAAAAGUUUUUACAUUCAUUCCAUAUGACCUAAAAUACUUGGAUAUAACAUGAUCUUUCAGUUUUCCUUGUCCAGGUGUAUAUGGAGUUUGCCACAUCUCAUUUUAUAUCAAAGGAUGCUAGUCACGAAUACAUCAUGCUGACAAAUAAGUACACUCUGUUAAAAAAUAAGUGCAUCGUAUCAACAUCACAGUGGGGAUUACUCUACCAAAUGGUGGCAAAUUUGGCUUCAAGAAUGGCAGUGCAUAACAACAACAACAACAACAACAACAACAACAACAACAACAACAACAACAACAAUAAUAAUAAUAAUAAUAAUAAUAAUAAUAAUAAUAAUAAUAAUAAUAAUAAUAAUAAUAAUAAUAAUAAUAAUAAUAAUAAUAAUAAUAAUAAUAAUAAAAAAAAAAUAAUAAUAAUGAUAAUACAUUGAAAGUAUAGUAAAGAAUUUAAGCAACUCCAAUCAUUUGUUAUAUAGACUUGAGGGAACAACAACAACAACAACAACAACAACAACAACAACAAUAACAAUAAUAAUAAUAAUAAUAAUAAUAAUAAUAAUAAUAAUAAAUAAUAAUAAUGAUAAUACAUUGAAAGUAUAGUAAAGAAUUUAAGCAACUCUAAUCAUUUGUUAUAUAGACUUGAGGGAACAACAACAACAAUAAUAAUAAUAAUAAUAAUAUAUUGAAAGUAUAGUAAAGAAUUUAAGCAACUCCAAUCCCUUUGUUAUAUAGACUUGAGGGAGAAAAGAAGAUAACUUACAAUUACAACUGUAAAGACACCAUGCAUUUGGAGACAUUCUAGGUAGAGCUUUUAAAUGAUUAAAAACAAGAAAAAUCUCUAUGCUUGAAAUAUGCAAGUCAAAAUCAACAAUAAAUAGAAAUAAGAAGCUAAAAAUAAUGUCACGUGAUGCUAUUGUCAUUCUAGGAACAAGUCCUUCACUUUAUGAAAUGGUUCAAUGAUAAGUUUUCUUGUUUUCAUAAGCUACCAAAUCCAAUUCGAUUGUGUUCAACAUCACCAUAGACUCUUUUACUUUUAGAAUAUUCUACCAUCAACCAAAUGAUCAGCCAUAUUUCCAUAAGGAUUCAUAUUAAUAUAAGAUGGAUCUAUUAUAGAACUAAAUGAGAAUACAUUUCAAAAUAGUUAUUGGGAGUAAUUUAAUUAUAUUUCAAUAUAUUUGAAAUAUACAUGCCAUAAUUGAUGAUAAAAAUAUGACAAUGACAAUGACUUUAAACAAAAAAGUUUUGAUAUAGAAAAAUUAAUAGUUUUAAUUUUUUUGUUGUCUUAUAUGUAGUAGCUCAAGAUAUAUGCUUCACUUUGAAGGCAUUCCAAAUUUGAGUUAUAGGAGGCAUAUGUUCUUCAUUAUUUAAGUUUAAUUAUAAUUUAUUCCAAAUAUGAGUUUCCAAAACUAAGUGCUUAGCUAAUCUUAAAAAAAAAUGAAGUCAAGUUUUAGGCAUUAGGGUUUGGAUUUCCAAACUCAAAGUUGUAAAAUGACUAAUAUUUAAGAUGAACUAUAUUGAGAAGUGUCUCAAAUUCCUAAUUGUUAUAUAUUCCUUGUUGUGAAAAGAAUAUUAUGUAGAAUAUUUUCUAAGUUUAUAGGUGAUUGUAAUAAAAUUCUUUAUAGAAUAAAGAAACCUAGUAGGAAUAUCUAUCUAAAUAUUUUAGGUCAUGAGGGGAAAAAAGUUAUGAUAUGAGAUGGAGAUAGAGAUGAGAGGAAGAGUGAGAGACACCUAAUGAAGCAAGAGUGCUCUCGGCUUAAACUGUAUAUACAAAGAUUGAAAAAACGAUGGAUGUUUAGUAACCUAGUUGUUGCAUCUGUUUUUGCUAUUUGUAAUAUUUGUUUAUUUUAUAGUGGAAUGUUAUCUCUCAUUUAUAGGUGUAGACAUAGUUGAUCGAAUCACAGUAAAACUUUGUGUACCUUUAUGCAUGAAUUAUCCUUAUUUUUUUGUUCUUUCAUUCGUGUAUUUUCAUUAAGACUUCCACCAGCCCAAUAAAUGAUAUAUAUAUAAAAGUUUUUGUUGGCCUAACAAACUUAACAUUGUCCUUUCGGGAUGUAGUGAAAAGGCCUUUUAAAGGAUUUGUAUUUUAUCAUAAAAUAGAAAAGAAAGAAAAGAAACAUGACAGAAUUUCAACCCCUUCGAACCACUUGGCAAUAUAUUAUUAUAUUUAUGAUAAAUACUUAGUCAAAAUUGUAUGGUGUUAUAUAGUCCGCACAUAUCUUAAAGUAAUUAAGAAGGGGGAGGAAGAUGGCUUACCAAUAAGUUUCCAUGAGGGCUUGAAUGAACAACUAAAAUAGAGAGAUGGUGGAAUAUAAAGAGGACUUUGCUAGCAAGUGCACCUGACAAUGGAGCUUAAAGCUUGAGAUCAGUGCUGGAUGCUCUCAAUCUUUUAGGGUGUGGUUCCUGAUCAUCUGCUUGGUUUUCCCCGGCAUCAUCAUGGCCUCUUUGAUGAUCCACCAACAUAGGCACAUUAUCGUGUAGAUAAUCAUGGGUGUAUAUCAGCUGAACCCCGCACCUCUUGAUAUUGGUAUGAGUAGCCUGACCAUUAAUCCUAGUAACAAAAUCAAACGCAGCCAGAAAGUGCCAUGGUUGUUUGCGGUGGUACUUAUUUGGAAUAGCAUUCUUAGGAUAGAGAGUCACCCACAAUUCAUCGGAUGCAUCACCAUUAAACUCGUGGCAUUUACACCAAGAAGAAAUAGAGAGGUCAUCCACAACUUCAUCUGGAUCACCGCGCAAUCUCAGAUCAAAAUGACAUGAAGCCUCAAAAUGAUUCUCUUUAUGAUAAAGAGAGAAGAAAGCAAAUCCCAGAAAGUGGUUGUCCUCGUACCAAUUCAAAGGAAGCUCUAUUCUUAAUUGGCUUCCAAUGUCCUGAUGCAAUACCCACCCUGGAAUUCCACCAUUUCCUGGAUUGAUAAUCAUCUUGCCUUUCUUGCAAUUCAAGUGCUGCAUAUAGAAUCAAAGCUAAUAUGUAAUUGGAGUACUACUGGGUGGAUGAAAAUUUUUAAGUGUCAUUAUUAAAUAAAAAUCAUACCUCAUUACUUGUUGGUUUGAACCAUUUGAGGAGGGAAGACCAGAGUAGAGAUGAUGGACCUGAUAACAUUUCCAGCUUCGUAUCGUGGGCAUGUAUUUCUGGUAGACUUGAUGGAAGCUCUGGAAUUUCUUGGAGCAUCUUGCAGUGACUGAUAUCAAGGUAACGAAGCUUGCAAAGUUGAGAGAUGCCGGAAGGAUGCUAACCAUAUGGUUUCCACGUAGAUUUAAUUUUUCCAAGGAAUAUAGGCCCCAGAUAUCAGUGGGAAUUGACCCUUCCAUUAGAUUGCAGUGACUCAAAUCUAGUUCCACUAAGGAGCAUAAGGCUUCUAGAUUCUUGGGAAACUUCUCCAAGUUUGAACAACCAGGGAGUAUCAGAUAUUCAAGGGAUCUCAGAUCAUAAAUGCUAUCUGGAAGAGUAACAAGGUUCUUGCAAUUGCUCAAAUACAACAUUCUGAGGUUUUUCAGAUUUUGAAUUGAUGAUGGUAGUUCUUUUAUAGCUGUUCCUUCCAAAUCAAGCACAUCUAAGUAUUCCAUAUCCUCCAUGAAUUCGGGAAAGUUCUGUAGGCUUGAGCACCCACUGAGAUUGAGCCGUUGAAAAGAUUUAAACCUACAAAUGCUGCUUGGAAGACUCCUCAAGUUUUUGCAGUCACUCAGAAACAAUUCACCAAUAUUAUGAAGAUGUUCCAUUGAUGAUGGUAGCUCUUUUAUACCUGUUCCUCUUAAAUCAAGAAAUUCUAAGUAUUUCAUAUCCUCCAUGAUUUCUGGAAAAGUAUCUAGAUUUGAACAACCAAAGACUUGGAGGUUUCUAAGGGACUUUAACCUGCAAAUGCUACUUGGAAGACUCCUCAAGUUUUUGCACACUUUCAUAUAUAACUCCUUAAGUCCAGUGAGAUGUUCUAUUGAGGAGGGUAAUUCCUUAAUAGCAGAUCCAUCAAAGUGAAGAUAAGAUAAAGCUUUCAUAGAACUUCUCUUCAUCUCCGGAAAUUCCUCCAAGUUUGAGCAAUUAUUCAAGUAAAUAGUUUCAAGAGAGUCCAAGUAUUGAAUGCUGCUUGGUAAACUUGUAAGGUUUUCACACCCACUCAAAUUCAACAAAGUAAGCUUCUUUAGAACUCCAAUAGAUGGAUCAACAACAUUCAAACUUGUACAACGCUCAAGUUCUAACUCCUCUAGAUUUGGCAUAUUUGAGAAGUUCGAUAUUUCAGUAAGUUGCUUGGAUCUUAGUAAAUUUAAGAUCUUUAACUGUUCCAAACACUGUGACAAAAGGAAUUUUGGUUUAGUAAAUGAAUUUUUGUGAACAAAAAAUUAAUCUCAAACAAAAUAGUAUGAUCAUGAAAUACUAAUUAUACCUUAUUUCUUUGCCAAAGUUGUUUUAUGUUGCUAUCCAUCAUGUUGAGUUCAACAAGGUUCUCUCCAUGAAAAUUUGAAGGCAAUGAUUUCAAAGAAUAUCCUUCCCAAUGAAGAUAUCUCAACUCAUGUGAAGGAAAUUGAAAAUCUUCAGGAAGAAUAACUUUAAACUCCUUUUUCAUAGAACCACAAUAAUCUCUCCAAUAAAUCUUGAGCAAUCUAAGUCGUUUCAUCUUUGCAAAAAUCUUUGUACUAAAUUGCAGUUGUUUUGAUCUAGACAAGUCCAAGAAUAUCGCCUCAACUUUUUUCAUCCCCUACCAACAAUAGCAAAGGAUCAGGCAAGCAUAAAAGAGAUAAGUUAGCUAAAAUUGUAUGGAUAUGUAACUUGGAAAAAAAUGAUAUUGCUCAAAUUAACAUAUUUUUAUGAAGCUUAAAUAAGUUCACGAGUUUGACGGUUACCUUUUUCAUUGUAAAUGCACGAUACACAUCACUCGGAUCCCACAAUCUGCUCCAUUUUCCAGGAUCAUCGGGAAAUUCACUACGAAUAAUGUUCCAUCCCAUUUCUUGUAUCAAAUCAUGCAUAAGUAUCUUGUUUUUGGAAAGAGAUAUAAGACACUUAUCACAGAGGACUUUUAUUCCUAUCUCUACAUAUAAAUCACAACUAUCCAAUAUCCUUAAAACAAAAUCUUUGUCUUCUUCUUUAAAAAAACAUGCAAUAUCAAGAAAUAUUUUCUUCUGUGUAUGAUCUAAUCCGUCAAAGCUUAUUUUAAGCACAUUUUGUAUUUUCACUUCAGGUUCCCUUUCUAAUUUACACAAUUCACUUUCCCAUUGGAUUAUUGUCUUGUUAAACAAGAGAGAACCGAGGACUUUUAGAGCUAAUGGAAGACCAUGACAAUAGUAGACUACGCGAUCCGAGAGGUGGAUGAAGUCUUGUUUAGGAAGAUUUUGUUUAAAAGCAUAGAGACUAAAAAGCUCACGAGCUUGUUCAAAAUUUAAUUCCUCAACCUCAUAUACGUCAUCCAUUUCUUGCAACAACUGUUUACUUCUAGUUGUAAUGAUGACUCUGCUUCCUUUUCCAAGCCAAUCACGAUUUCUGAGUAAAUAUUCUAAUUGAUCUGAAUCAUCAAUGUCAUCGAGAACAAUAAAAACUCUUUUAAAUCGGAGAACAUUUUUUAUCAUAUUGGCUCCUUGCCCAACAUUGCUUAUGUUUUGAUUUCUCUCCACCUCUAGUAAAUCACAAAGAAGUUGAUUUUGUAAAUGAUGCAAACCCAUAGUGUUGCAAACUUCUCUAACAUUUUCAAGAAAGCUCAUAUACUCAAAUUCAUGAGAAAAUUUAUUGUAUACAACUUUGGCGAUAGUCGUCUUACCCAUUCCGCCUAUUCCACAUAUACCAAUUAUGCGAACAUCAUUCAAUUGAUCAACACAUAGCCGCCAAAUUAUCUCGGUAACACGGGAAUCCAUACCAACUAAGUUGGCACCAACAUCAAACAUUCUACAAUUCAAUCUCAUGAAUAUGUUGUUGACGAUUUUCUUAGUAUGCUCAGACUCAUACCUGCCAAUUGUGAAGUAGAUGUGAUGAUUAAUUAAGUUGUAGCUAAUAAAAAAAAAAUACACGCUAAGCUUCUUCAUGAAAAAUGAAUUAUAGUAAAAUACAAUAUAUCAAAAGUAUUAAGUUUUAAAAAUCAAAUUACAUUUUUAGGGCAUUUUCAUUGUAUCAAGUAUACCAGACAAUGAAAAUAAAAUAUGUAUUUGUUUAAUUUAUGUGCUUGUGCAACAUUGUCAAAAUGAUUUUUUUUUUUUGUUUUUUUUUUUGGAACAUUUAUGGGCUGCAAAGCAUGGAGCAAAUUAAUAUCAAACGAAAUCAUGUUAUAAUGACCCACCCUCUUGUGCAUAUGUAUAUAUAUAUAAUGUGCAAUGGAGACACAAGGUUCUCACCAUGUCUCAUAUUGUUAUGGGAUCAAACAAAAUCAAACUAAAUUCUAUGUUUGUUUGGGAUAUCAUUAGUAAUGUAAUGUUUUCUUAUGUGUAAAUAUUAUUCACUUUAUAUUUAAAACUCUUACAACUUUAGAAUAUAUCUACACAAUUAAAAGUACAUUAUAUAUAAAACAAUUAAAAGUACACUAUAUAUAAAAUUCUAGAAACUUGAUUCUAGUUGACAUGUGACAUCACACUUAUCUUUUUCAAAUACAUUAUAUUAUUCAUUCUACAUCAUAUAGUGAUUGAAGUAUCAUUUGGCGCAUAUUCUAUAUCUUAAUACAAGAGGUUCUAAGUUUAAAACCCUAUACCUCAUAUUCCUUAGGUUUUAAAACUUAUUGACCCGUAAAACAAAAAUUAAAGGCUUCAAAAUAAGUUAGUAAUUGGGCUUUUAAGUCGAUUUCUUUCAGAAUCAUUGCAAAGACGAAAAAUAGGCUUACAAAUCUCUUCCAACUAUUACUCUAUAAUCAUAAAAAUGUCUGAUUCAUGUGCUAGUAAAUAAAGCCUACUUAUAAAUGAAAGUUGAAGGGAAAUUAACAAAGCUUUACCCAUCCUUCACAUGCUCUCCAGAUAUAUUGGCUGCUUCUGUCAAUGCACUCCUCCAACUUUGCAGCUUCUCUUUCAUCUCCUCUGUAUCUUCUUUGCAAUUGGAAAAUGCCUCUCCAAACCCUUCUGUCUGGUGCCGUACAUGGGAUGGAUCCACAUGGUAGAAAAUCGGUACCACAGUUUGUUUCAUUUCUUUCCUGCACUUCAUGAUCUUCAACAGCUCAUCUAAACACCAUCUUGAACGAGCAUAGUUUUCCGAGAAAACUACAAGGGAAAACCUUGAUUCUUCAAUAGCUUUAAGGAGUUCAGGUGCAAUCUCUUCCCCUCUCUUAAGUGAAUCAUCUCUAAAGGUAUGAAUACCUCUUCGAAUCAAAUUUGCAUACAAGUGAUCAGUGAAAUUGAAUCGGGUGUCUUCGCCUCUAAAACUCAAGAAAACAUCAUAAUUCCAUUGUGGGAUGAAAGUAGAAGUAGAACUUGUGGAAGCCAUAGGAAACUUUUGCCAAAAUUAGAAGAGAUUUUGCGGAAUUGUGAAUGUAGAUUGUGAAGAUUUUUUUCGCAAAGAUUCGCUGAUGAAGGAUUUUGUCUGAAUGUAAUGUAUAGGAAAAAAAAAGGGAGGGGUACAAGAAGAAAAAAAAGCAGCGUCCGGGGUCAC